GAGGGAAGAGGUGUGGGUUGCAGAGGGAAGAAGAAAGGGAGGAGGUUAAGGGAGGUAGAAGACGGAUGGUUUUUUUUUUUUUUUUUUUUUUGUAUUUUUUUUUUAAUUUGUUAAUAUUGAAGUGGGCCCAUAUUGACACAUGGCGCUCAGUUAUUAUCCACAUAGGUGCCACAUCAUCAGUUAACAGAAGUUCUAACAGAAAAUUUAACAAAUGUAUGAAAAUGUCCCAAAAUUAAGACUUGAGGUAUGACUCUGGGAUGAAAAAAAAUUUAUGUACCAAAUGUUGAAAACCACGAAACAUCAGGGUAAUAAAUUGAGAUUAACCCAAAACAUUAAUUACAUUUCACCUUCUUCCUAUGCAAACCUAAUAAGCUUUUCUUUCUUAUCAUUACUCAAUUUGUUUGUAAUCCAUUCUCAUUCAAACUGGCAGAGAGCGUGGCAAAUUUUUCAUCAAACUCUCCAUCUAUGUCUCCAGUAUGUCUCAUUAAUUUAAGGGUUAAUCUCAGUUUACUACCUUGAAGUUUCGUGGUUUUCAAUAUUUGGUACAUGAAGUUUUUUUCAUCUUAGAGUCAUACCUCAAGUCUUAAUUUUGGAACAAUCUCAUACUUCCGUUAGUUUUUCUAUUAAGAGCUCUAUUAAAACGUGACGUGGCACUUGACUGGAUGAUGACUGUGCAAAAAUGUGACACUGUGGGCCCCACAUAGACAUAUAAACCCAAUUAAAAUUUUUAAAAUAUUUUUUUUUUCCUAUCCCUUUCUCCAGCAAAGAGACCGAAGAAAUAAAAAAAUAAAUUAUAACCUCUAUUCUUUAUCGCCUAUACCUUCUCCAGCCAUCCCUUAUCUCCCCCUGAUAACCCACUCCCAAAGCUUCCCAAGCCACCAUUUUUCACUCACCCACCACACCGAGAACCCAUAUCCUCCACUUUCCUCACCGCCUCCAUCUUAUCUUUCGCCUAUCUCACUGUCAUAGUCAUCUCCUUCACCAACCCUCUCGCUGCCAUAGCCGUCGAUUACGACGAUCCAGAUCCGAAGACCUUCUGGAAGAUUCCACAACGUGUUGAACAUGGCCACGAUGGUGAUCGAUAGCUUGGAUCUGGCUACGAUGGCGAAUGAGUUUUUUACGAUCGAGUACCCCGACCAGAUUGGGACGAAACAAUGACUUCAGAUCGUGGCUUCGUUCGUAGAUUUUAGAAACAAAUUCUUUAAACCAGAAGGAGUCCAUGACCUUGGCGAUGUCUUCAGAUCUCAGUGUUAGACUCCACUGUUGUGGCAGAAAUCGAUGGUGGAGAGAGCUUCUGGAAAUAGCUUACCGCCGCGGAUCAGAUCCAUUGCGAAAUAGAUCUUGAACUUGCGCGCCAUGACCUUUUGGAGUUGGACGAUGUUGGGUGCUUCACCAUCCUCGUCACAGAGAAGAGGAUGGUUUGUUGGGUUGGUGCAGAUGAGCGAAUGGAGGGAUAAGGGAGGAAGGGAAGGUCGGGGGAGAUAGAAGACGACCAAAUUUUUUUUUUAAAUUUUUAAUUUCUACGUGGACCCCUUGAUGACACGUGGCGCUCAGUCAUUGUCUACAUGGAUGCCACGUCAUCAGUUAGCGGGAGACUUAACAGCCAAACUAACAUAUGUAUGAAACUGUCCCAAAAUUAAUACUUGAGUAUGACUCUGGGACGAAAAAAACUUCAUGUACCAAAUGUUGAAAACCACAAGACUUGAGGGUAGUAAACUGAGAUUUACCCUUAAUUUAAUAUCCCAAACCACAUUAAAAAAAAUCCGGAUCCCAUAUCGAAAAACUCCCAAACCGAUAACGUCGAAUAUUUUUGGAUCCAUACCGAAUCAAUCUCAAACCUUUCGGUAUGGGAAUCAGGAUUACAUAUUCAGUGGUUGGGGAAUGCCAAACUGAACCGAAAAUAUAUUUAUAUUUUGUUUGCAUGCAUUUUGAAUUUUGAAUUUAAGUAGUUUGAUGGUAGGCUAUAUUAGAAAUAGAAGUAUGAAAUUUAGUUGUUUGGAACGUCAAUUUGACUUGGUAUAAAUGGAUUGGUAUUUCAAUUGGUAUGAGGUAAAAAGCCUAAAUUUCAAUUGAAAUGAAAUUGGGGAACAAAAUUUCAGGCCGAAAGCCCAAAUUUUUGCCCACAACCCAAAACCUAGUCUCGAUCCAUCCCAAAAUAUCGAAAACGUUUCGGGAAUCCCGAAAAUUGAAAAUACUGAAAUUUCAGUUCGAGAUUGAUCUUCAAAUUUCUGUCUCGAAAAUUUUUAGUUUGGGAUUCAAGAUCCUAUUUUCGGUUUGGGAUCCCAUACCGAACCACCUUUACUUUAAACUUGAACCUUCUUCUUCGUUUCUGAUAUGUUUGGGGUAAAAAGUAAAAAGUGCUUUUUAGUUAAAAAAAAAUACUUGAAGUGCUUUCUGAAAGAAGCAUCUUCUAUGUGCUUCUUUUAGGAAGUGUUUCAAGUGUUUUUUUCAAGAAGCACUUGCAUUUUUAAUUUAAAAUUUCAGUAUAAAAUCUAAUAGAAGUGCUUUUACUAGAAGUUCUUUUGAUAAAAAAUGCUUUAAAAAAAUUUCAAACGAGCUCAUAGUUUCUAGGGAAAAUGCUAGGGGGACCAUAUUUUUGCACCACAUCGUUGUACCAUGUAGUGUGGCAAGUGAUUUGUACAUGUCAUGGCAUUUAGUGAAUUUAUCUCACGUGUAAUGUUAGGGAGCACACAUACAACAAUAUCUAAUGAGAUGAAUACAUUAAUUGUCGUUGCAUGUACAUGCAGUAAUUUGGCAUCUAUAGCAUUUUCCUUAUCAUUAGAUGUUGGUUGUACAUAUAACUUGCCACAUGAGAUGAUACAUCAAUGUGGUAUAUUUUUGUGGUUUCAUAGCAUUACUCAGUUUCCAGAUAUUUAUUGGGUGUCAACGAAAGUUUUUUUUUGUUUACGUAGUUAUGAAUGACUUUUUAGCUUUCCAAUUAAUUUCAUUUGAAGUUAUUUAACUCUAUUAUUAUUAUUAUUGUUGUUGUUGUUGUUGUUGUUGUUGUUGUUGUUGUUGUUGCAUAAGUUAUUAAACUUUUACAUAUUGUAAUUCCAAUUUAUUUUUUUGGGAUUGGCCACAGUAGUUACAUAUAUUUAGUAUAGUGAUAUAUAUACGAUUGUUAAUAAUCUUCUCCAUUUUUUCUCAUUGUUGGAUGCUGAGAAAAUACUGCGAAAAAACUGUGGUAUUGGUGGAUCUUUGGUGGAAAUAGAAGUUAUAUCACAUAGAACUACUACAUUAUUGUUCUUUCAAUUUCAAUAUGGCCUUCAAUUCAUUGCAGUAAGUAAACAGUUUUGUUUGUUUGUGGUGAUAUAUAUUUUUUAAUUUGUACUCAUCCUAUUUUGGUUUAAUUUUGAUGACUUAAUUUUGUUUGUUAUUAAUUUUAUUCUAAGAUGGGUGGAUAUAGUGAAGACAUGAUCCUGACGAUAUGUCAUCCUUCAUUUAAAAUAGUUAUCUUUUAUAUUCAAUACUCACUUAUUCUCUGAAAUUUCUGAUAUAGGAUUGCAUUUACCAACACUCCUCGUCAAUAGAACCUGUCCCUUAUCUGCCACAUGUGCAGCCAACACUCACUUUUUCUCAAGUAGCAGCAGAUUGUCAUGAAAUUGUCAUUAGCUUAGGCCCGGAUUGUGCCUAGUGGCUCAUUAUUAAUCACAUCAAUAUUUUCUUAACUUAAUCAUCUAUACAACUUUGCAGGUGUUGAGUAUUAUCACAAUCAACCUUAGUGAAAAGUGGAGCCAUUUAAUAUAAUUUGUUAUUUAUUCUGUCAAAUGUUCAUUGUGAAUUGAUACGAAUCAAUAAUUUGAUCAAGUUGACUGAAUUAUAAUCAACUUUAUAACUAAUCUAUUCUAAAGAUUCAAUGGAUAUGCUUCCUGCGGGUUAGAAUUUCUUGAUCAAGCAUGCGUCAUUGGAGCUGAUUCAAAUGUUGCUAUAUACUCUCACCUUCAGAAAAUAGAUUUAAUACUAUCAGACAUGCAUCUAAAAAUUCAGUUCAAAUAUCAUGUCUCCAUCUUAUGUUUGUUAGCUAUUUCCUUUUUAGCUAGGUCAACAUCAGUUAAACUUUCAUGAAACUUAUUCUCAUUAAAUUAUCAAUGAUAACAUUGAAUUUCAACUCGCUUACCAAAACAAAAAUUUCGUUAUACAUUGAAUCGAAAUUGCCAUUGAGGUCACAUUACGUGUUGAGAUGUGAUACUAAAACACAUAAAUUGUAGUUGAAAAAAAACAGCAAUGUCACUCAUGUCAAGUUUAAGGUAAUAAUUUUCCUUUUUUACAUUGAAUAAUCAAAAUUUCUUUGCUCUAGAUGUGAUUGUUGAAGAAUGCGCAAUCUCACGUCUGAAAUUUAAAGAAAAAAAAAAUUACAACUUAUAGUGAAUGGUUUUACUAUUAAUUGCAACGAGGUCUAUCGGAGAAUCAUCCUCGUCAACAGAUGUGGUGCCGUGCACAGGAGGCGGCAUAAUUACAUCGUGGUUGUGUUAAAGUAGCCAUAAUAGUUGUAAAAUGAUCUGGUCGAGAGGUUCUUGAGUUCCACUCUCAAUGAAAGUACCAGUUGUUGAAACCAAAUUUGUAUAUCGUCGUGUGUGUUGGAGAUGCUCAAGCUCGUUAACUUGUAAAAGAACAAACGACUGAAAGCAAGCUAAAGACCGAAGGGGUGUGUGUCUGUGUGAUGGCUAAAGGCUAUACGACAUCAAGUCAGUAAGCAAUAUUAAGACUCAAGCAGUGGGCAAGAGAAUAAGUGUGCAAAGAUAGCGUUACCAAACAUGAACCACUUUUAGGGUGUAUUUAGACAAAUAGAGGAGAGGACCUUUUAGGAUAGUAAAAUCCUUAUUAAACUGGGAGAAUCCCAGAGGAUAUCUAGGAAGUAGAUAUUGAAUCCUCUUAGGAGUGUAUUUACUUGCGGCGCAUGUCAAUCCUUAGAUGGUAAGGAAUUCAAGAUUAUAGAAAACAUGCUGAUUCCUUACUGAAUUGGGUUCUUGAAUCUUAUGGAACAAGCAUGGUCUAUUUCAGUGAAGUCGACGGACUUCGCCCACUGAUUCCAGAACAAGAUGAUUGUGGCAUCAUUGAAUCGUUUAAUCAGCUCUACAAUGGAGGGUGUUGAGUCUAUGGCUGGACUACUGAGGUAGACGUCUUCCGAUCCGACUUACUCUGGCCCUGAAAAAUCGUGAUCCCAUAGUAAACAAUCAAAACUACUAGUUCAUUUUUAUAAGAAUAUUACUUGUAUAAAUGUCGAAUCCAUCAAUGAAUAAGUUUCAGAUAAAAAAAUGUGAUAACAUAAAUUUGGACGGCAAUUUCAUAAUAGAUUCAUUAAGCUUGAUUUACUAGUACAAGUUGUUAUUAAAUAACAAACUGAUAUACCAACUACUACUGUAUGUCUCCUUCGCAUUGUUUAAUCAAUGAAAAAUAAUAAUACGUAAGUUAAUACUAGUAACCUUCAAUAAUUUCCUGCCUAACAAAUAUAAUAGUAAGUUUCUUGUAACUCAAACUUCAUUAGCUAAGCAUGGAAGAAAAAAGAGAAGUUAAUAAAUAAAUUUCUCUGUGAUGAUAAUCAAGACUUCAUACUAGUGAUUGUGAUAGUUAUGCUAUGUCAAUAAUUCAGCCAACAGCCCACUACUUACCACACAAUCAAGCCCCAAUGUAAUCAGGAAUCGAAUCAUUCAGUAUAAGUUGUCAUUUAUUCUCUGAAAUUUCUGAUAUAAGAUUGUAUUUUUCAACGCUCCUCCUCAAUAGCACCUGUCUUUGUGGGCCAUAUGUGCAACCAAUUCCACAUUAGUAGCCUUUUAUUUUGUUUCUUUUUCUCAAGUAGCGGAAGAUUGUCAUAAAAUUGUCUUUAGCUUGGGCCGGAUUGAGGAAAAUCUGCUUGAUACCAAUUCAAGAUGUAAGGCUAGUGGUUUAUUAUUAAUCACACUAAUAUUUUCUUAACUUAAUCACCUCUACAACUUUGCAGGUGUUGAGUUUUAUAAAAAACGAUUUUAGUGAAAAGUGGAGCCAUUUAAAAUAAUUUGUUAUUUAUUCUGUCAAGUGUUCAUUGUGGAAUAAUACGAAUUAAUAAUUUGGUCAAGUUGACUAAAUUAUAAUAAACUUUAUAACUAAAUCUAUUCUAAAUAUUCAAUGGAUAUGCUCGCUGCGAGUUAGAAUUUCUUGAUCAAGCAUGCGUCAUUGGAGCCGAUUCAAACGUUGCUAUAUGCUAUCACCUUCAGAAAAAAAAUAUUACUAUUACUAUCAGACAUGCAUUUAAAAUUUCAGUUCAAAUAUCAUGUCUCCAUCUUAUAUUAGCUAUUUCCUUUCUAGCUAGGUCAACAUCAGUUAAACUUUCAUGAAACUUAUUCUCAUUAAAUUAUCAAUGAUAACAUUGAAUUUCGACUCCCUUACCAAAACAAAAGUUUUGUUAUACAUUUCAUCGAAAUUGCCAUUGAGGUCACAUUACGUAUUGAGAUGUGAUACUAAAACCUAUAUAAAUUGUAGUUGAAAAAACAGCAAUGUCACUCAUGUCUAGUCGAAGGUAAUAAUUUUCUGUUUUUACAUUGAAUAAUCAAAAUUGCUUUGCUCUAGAUGUGAUUGUUGAAGAAUGCGCAAUCUCACGUCUGCAACUUAAAAAAAAAAUAUUACAACGUAUAGUCAAUGGUUUUACUAUUAAUUGUACUGCGGCCUUUUGAGAUCAAAUCUAACACCAUGUUGGAUUGGGCAAAUAAUAAAAUUAGAAAUACCAAUAUGAUUAGUAGUAGACCGUUGCUCCGAUUGUGACACGUUGAUAGUGAUUCCUUCAUCUGUAUAACACUCAACCCACAUUGACUUGAUUUUGGAAUUAGAUAUGUGCGAUCUAAACUGUUAUUGCAUGGUUUGACCAAGGAGCUAGAUUUAUUGUAAAAAAUAAAUUAUUGUAGAAUUAUCAGAGAGACUGGUCAUACGGCCCACUUCCAACAACACCGAUAUUGUCCCCAACUUGGUAAUUACCACCUGCACAAUCCGUCAGGUGUGGGGUUUUAUCACAAAAGGCCUCGGUUAUAGUUGGAGUGGGAUUAUGAUAUUUAAACUCUUAUUUUUCCAUUGAUACGGUCGAUGUGGGACAUUUCAAUACGCCCCCUCACGUGAGACCCAAUUAGUGGGUCACACGUGGGAGAUCCACACAUCGACAAUCACAACCACGUGGAGCCAAGGGGACUCACCCUACACGCAGGGCCAAGGGACCCACCAUCAUCGCGCGGGGCCAAGGGGACCCACCCAUCACGUGGCAGUACGGUACGUGCCCGCUCCCUGGCUCUGAUACCAUGUAGAAUUAUCAGAGAGACGGGUCAUACGGCCCACUUCCAACAACACCGAUAUUGUCCCCAACUUGGUAAUUACCACCUGCACAAUCCGUCAGGUGUGAGGUUUUAUCACAAAAGGCCUCGGUUAUAGUUGGAGUGGGAUUAUGAUAUUUAAACUCUUAUUUUUCCAUUGAUACGGUCGAUGUGGGACAUUUCAAUAAUUAUCAUAGAAAAUCUGCAACAGUACGAGAAAUUUGUAAUGGAUAUUUUAGGUAGAGCAUCUUCAAUCAUUAUUUUUUUUUAAUUUUAACAAAAAAAUACUAGAGAAUUAGUUUACAAAAUACUUUAAUAUUAACUAUAAAAGUAAAAGAAAUUAAAAGGGAGAAAAGGAGAAAAAAUGGGUUGUAAGGUCAUCUCCAACCGAAAAUGUUAAAUAUAACUCCAUCCAAAAUUAUAGUUUUGUAAAAAAUUAUUUUUAAAUGAAUAAUAUCAGGUUAUACUCAUAUACCAUCUCCAACCGAAAGAGCUAAACAUAGUCCCUCAAUAACUUAUUAGUUUUACGUUUAUGCUUUAAAUUUAUUGGUUAAUUUAAUUAAACUACAUUUGGAUGUUUCAAAUCUAGACGUUGAAUUUGAAUCAAAUGUUACAACUAAGGAGUUGGGCCCCAAAAACAGAGGCUAAGAGGAGGGCUACAUUCGGCUAGCCUGAUGCGUUUUUGGCCAAAUAAUGACUUUGUGGGAUGUAUAUAAUUAUAUAAUCAUGGUUGAAGAUGAGUUUUUGGACAAAUUAAGCUUUUUUUUUAGGGAACUUUAACGAAAAGCUCCCGGUACUGUUCACUUUAACGAAAAAUCACAUUUUUACACUAAAAAGUCAAUCCUGGUACUAUUCACUUUACCCUUUAUUUUGUUCUUAUCGUUAAAACUCAAAGUUUUCAAGUCAUUUUCAUUAGUUUUCCUUUUUUUUUUUACUUUUGAAUUUUUAGCCCUCUCCAUUGAAAAUGACCUAAGAAGCUAAAAGAAGAAUACUGCAUAUGUAACACAAAAACUAAACUCCUUGGAAUAGAGAAACCCCAUAUUACAAAAAAUAUAAAAAGAUCCAAUGAAAAAAGAUAAACCUAAUUUUUAACUAUCUUAAUAUGAUAGCACUUGAACGCCUUGCAUAGAGAGUAUAGUUGUAUUCAGUCAGUUCGAAGUAGAUCGGAAAGGAUUAGCAGGUACGGUUAGAUUGUCACCUCCUUCUAAAAUUUGAAUAACAACUUUCAUGGAAGGACGAUCUAUUGGGUGCCAUUGGACGCACCAUAGACCCACAAUGGCAAGUUUCUUUGCAUGUUCAGCAUCUCCUCCAUCCUCAAUGUGAAUCCGUAGGUCGUCCCCUUGUUCUAAAAGGUUAUAAAUCCAUUCUGGGAAAUAGACUUGACUGCUGGUGGAGUCCUCUUCCAUGAACUUAAAGUUUUUUGUUCCCCCAACCAUUUCCAGCAGCAACAUUCCAAAGCUAUAAACAUCUGACUUGUAGGAUACAUUUCCAAAGUUCCUAGAGAACACUUCGGGCGCAAUGUAGCCCAUGGUCCCCCUGAUGGUAGUCAUGGAUAUUGCGCUUUGAUCUCUAGAGCACAACUUGGCGAGGCCAAAAUCGGAAACUUUUGGGGUGAAAUUCUGGUCUAGCAAAAUGUUGUGGGGUUUUAUAUCGAAAUGGAGGAUUCGAUGGUCACACCCUUGGUGAAGAUAUUCAAUUCCUUUGGCUAUACCUAAAGCAAUCUCAUGCAACUUAUCCCAACCAAGGAAAGCGCUUUCACUAUCUGCUGAUGAUAAGAAAUUCUGUAGUGAACCAUUUGGUAGAUAUUCAUACACGAGCUGUUGUGUACCCAUCAGCACAAAAACCAACCAAGCGAACCACAUUGACAUGGUGGACUCGACCCAUUGUUCCGACUUCAUUUAUAAAAUCUUUUCCCUUUUCAUUAGAAUUGUUGAGGAUUUUCACAGCUACAAGUAAGUCGGAGGAAAGUCGUCCUUUAAACACUGUUCCAUAGGCUCCUUGACCUAACUUUUCAUUGAACUGAUUUGUUAUCCCUUUAAUAUCAGCGUAGGAAUAUCUACUGGGCUUGUGUGCUAUGUAAUCAUCCAAAAAUCUUUCAAUCCUCAACUGAUUUGUUUUCUCUGUUCUGUUGGAGCUAUAAACACGGUAAAUGAGGGUCCCCGCAACUGUUACAACCACAGAAAGUGAGAAAAUACCUGCAGAUACAGAUGAAACUCUGUGUUAAGAACCAACCCAUUUCUAAAUUAAAUUAAAAUAAAUCACAAUUGCCUCCAACUGAUAAAGCCCCCAGAAAUCAGAAUUGAUUGUAUAUUAAUACUUAUACAUAUAUAGGGUUCUUUUGUGCGGAAGUUAACGUGUAUUUUAUCCGGAUGCUGCCAUAAAAGAAGAACCCUGUCAAGGAUGGGAUCUAAAACUUGAAAAACAAAUGAUGAAAAUUGGUGCCUGUUGAAGCAAGUUCCGACUAGCACCCUAAAAUAUAACACUGGCAUGAGGUUCAAUAAUCCAAACCGUCUUGGAUUUAGUUCUCCAUCUAAGAUUUAUGAUUAUGGAUCACACAAGUGUGCAAAAAUUAACCUAACUAUUAGCAGUUCAAAUUCAAUCUUGUAAAAAUAGUGCUUAUGUGAACAACUUACCAGAUAUCUCUAAGUUUGUCCUUCCAUGGGUACUAUCUGUAAAAGCAGGUUAAUUAAGUCAAUAAUUAGCACUUUUGUUAUCAAAAGAAUAAAAUAGUUGAAGAAUUGUUUGCAUAAAUCUUUGUUUUCAUUUAAUAUAAAAAGUUCUCAUAUAUUCUUUGAGUCCAAAUUUGUUGUAUAUAUUAUCUGCACAAACUAGCUAAUUAAAACCUUGUCAAUGUGAAAAUGAGGGAAAUAUUUUCCGGUAAAGUACUGCAACAAGUCAAGUUAAAUGGGAGAUUAAAGGAUACCUUCGCUCACGCAUUCAGUUUCUGCAGUCUGAUUAUCUGUGAAAUUGUAUUGACCAACAGUUCUCUUCAGUCUGCAAGUCUUGCCCAUCUCUUCGCAACGUCCACAUGAUGGUUUGGACCACUGCAGCAUCAUAAGGUUGAAUGCUUCCACUAAUGAAAUUUGUGGAAUUGAUGUGUAGUCACGCAGCUUGGUACAAGACACUAGGUUCAUAUCAUCAAUGGAACAGUAGCCGUUGACAGCAUAGUAGUUAGUUUGGUUUUCAGGAUUGUCAAGGCCGCAAGGGCACAGUUUGAUUAGACAAAGUCUGCCUGUUUCAAGUAAUGGUGACGUACAACUGAAUAAAGUAUAAGUAGUAUCAAACGGUCCGUGCACAAAUUGAAAGGUCGAGGAAGAUAAGUUGAAUUUGAAAAUAUCUUUAGGCAGGCAAUCAUUUUGGAAAUAUACUCCGAUUUCUUGAGAUGCGUAGUCAAUCGUUUCAACGAUGAGCUUGUUAGAUGAGGACGGCAUCUCAAGCACGGUUCGGCCGUCGGUGGUGCAUGAUAGAUCAAAGCCAUGGUAACCGCACUGGAAUGGCUGUCCUUUAAGUCGAAAUGGGAAUCGGAUGGCUGGACCGUGGUGUUCACAGUAACUUACUUCUUUGCAGUUUUCAGGGACUACUCUGUCGCCAUACACUGUGCUUACAAAUCGAGCAUCUGCUAUCAUGAGAAACCAGCACAAGAAAUUGAUCAGAAGCAUUCUAUCCAAUGAGAAUAUUGAUUGUAGAAGUUCGGUAUCUUGGUAAUUCAUAUAUAUGAUUGUAUAUAAGAUAUGGGAUUGCAGAAGUCCCCUAUGUUUUGGGUAAAUAAUAAUCUCUUUUUAUAUUCACCCCUUCGUUCCAUUUCCUACCCCCAAAACGUUUUUCUAAUUUUUUUAAAUCUUCCACCAAUUUUGUUUUUAACUUCAAUUUGAAGGACUUGGUCGUGAUUUGCUUAUGGGUUAUUGACCAUCGUUAUCAAAUAAAAACUUCUAGUCGCUUUUAUGCAACUGUUACUCGCUAUAACGUGAAAUUGGAAUGCUAGAAACUGUUUCUUCCCCAGAUGGGCCAGAUCAACCCAUUAUUGUACCUAUUAUUCCGAUUUAGAUGAUGUGGGUUCUGUGUUCGUGUGGCUUCAAUAUUGGUCAUUCAACACUGAGUAAUGCUAAGUAGAUUAAAUUUGUAGACUAAAUUUACAAACUAAAUAAUAUGUCAUCAAUAAAAAAUAAGCACGUUAAUCAACACUUAAGUAAUAAUCCAAUUAUCAACGUUUAUGUCAUUGAGUUUAUAAAAUUUAUUCCACAAAUUUAGUCUCCUAGCAUUACCCUUCUAGAAAUUGGAGUUGUUGGUAUAGUUUGUUGUGCAAAUUUGUUCUCUUUACUUUAGCGGGAGAUUUUUUAGUGUGAUCGGAACACGGGAUUGUAUACCACGUGUCACUAUACAAAUGGUGAUAUAUAUGUGUGUUAAAAAGUUAAUAACUUAAAUAUUAAAAUUUUCUACCACUUAUAUAAAAACACGUGGUGUAUCACUCGUAUUCCGGUCACAAUAAAAAUUUUCUCUACUUUAGCCUUGGUUGUUGUUGUUGGAAUUAGUAUUGAUGAGACUUGUGUUUUGCAUACGUUUUUGCAAUAACUAUGGUUGUUAUGUUGAAAAAAUUGUUUAUUAAAGUGUUUUUUUUUUCAUUUAAUAAAAGAAAAAAAAAGGUAAGUGAUUUUUACACACAAUUUUUCUUCUCCUACAUGCACACGUAUAUGUAGAUUUUUGGCCUUUAAAAAUAAAAAUAAAAAAGUGCAGAAAAAGAAAAGAGAGUGGGUGGGAAAUAUAGGGACCUUCCUCCUAAUCCACCAAAUUAGGAAAUUUGUGCCAUUAAUUUGAUCAAUGAUUACAAAUAAGGGUCCAUUUUAAAAAUUAUAAUAAUUUCAACCGUUUGAUUAAAUUUCAAUGAUUUGAAUCAUUUGAUUUGAUGGAUUGGGAAAGGAUAAUAAUUGGGUACUCCAGGGAGUACCUAAUUUACUGACCAUCUUACGUGGCCCAAUAAAUAUAAAACACCUAGCAUUUUAACUCUCUUCUAAUAUUUUUCUAUCUCUGUAACCAAACACAUUUUGUACCCGAGACCAAACACCUCUCUUCUUCUCCAUCUUCUUUCCUUGCCCAGCUCAAUCCUUCUCCUUCUCCGGCAACCAUCUCCAUGCCUUCUUACUUCACUUUUAUUGAUACCAUGGCAGAUCCACCAAAGGUUCUCCGUCUGUUAUAGGUUGACUAAUAUUUUUUUUGUCGAAAUCACUUGCUGAUUGAUGUUGCGGAGAAGUCGGAGAAGAGUAUGGAGUUCAAAUUGACGGAGGAGGGAUGGAUAGAGUGGAGGUAUGCCGUUAUGGUCGACAGUUGGAAGAGUGGGGCUAACGGUUGGAGAAGGGAGCGGAGAUGGAGUCGACGAUUGGAGCAGGGUGAUUGGAGGAAAGAUGUUGGACGGCGGCGGUUCGAAGAAGAACAGUCACGGGAGAGGAGAGCGACAGAGGGAUGAGAGAAUUGGGAGUGAGAUGUUUGGUUGUCUGAUUCAGGAUGUUUGGUUACAGGAAUAGUCUACAUAUCAAAUUGUUUUAAAUUGACACAUGUUUAUAUCUUAUUGGGCCACUUAAGAGAGUGAGGAAGUAGGGUACUCUCCGGUGAGUACGCAAGUAUUUUCCAAAGAGAAAUCAUUUUUGUAAAACAAAAAAGCAGUUGACUAACCAGCACUAGAAGGGCAACUUCCUUGACUAUUUUAAUUAAAGAUUAAUGCUUAGUUUUACUCGUCUCCUGGGUUCUUUGCUUCGUUUGUCAUAAAUAAUGGGCUCCAAGCGACCAAUUUAUAUCUGAAUUCACCCCUUUCUUGCCAUAAGCCAAAAACCCUUGCUCCAUUAAGCUUUUUUGCCCCCUUCCAUAAUUUUGAUACAUUUAUAUUCUCUUUUGCCAUGUGUAGAGGAAGUCUCUUACUAGUUGCAUAUGGAGCCCUUCUUCUACUCUCUCUUCUUCCCUUUAUUUGUUCCCAAACAUCGAUACCUGAAAAAAAUUCUGAUUGUACUCUUUCUUGUGGCAAUAUUGACAUAAGCUCUCCAUUUCGGUUAAAAGGAGACCCUCAACACUGCGGCAACCGUACGUAUGAGCUAACUUGUGAGGAAAAUGUUACAGUCCUCUACUUGUAUAACCGAAAGUUUUACGCCAAGGCGAUCAAUUACAAUAACUUUACAAUCCGAGUUGUGGAUGCUUCUGUUCAAAAGAAAGAUAACUACUACUCCAUCCCACAUUACUCUUUUACCUCAUCCAGCUUUAGUUAUCGGGAUCCUUACAGCACUUCUCUAGUCCGACGACUGACGUGGAGUUCAAAUAUCCCGGACAUAAGUUAUAGUUACACGGCACGGCCUAUAUAAUUUUUAUGAACUGUCCAAAUCCAAUGCAUUCUCCUGGCCUUGUAGAAACAGCUCCAUGCGUCAAGGACGGCACCUGCUCUUCCAAUUCUUCUCUGUCCAAUGGUUUAAGAAUGUUUUCUUAUUCCAUCUUUGGCUGGAAUGGCUCCAUAAGUUCAUUGGAUUUGGGGGAGUCCUGUGAAAUAACGCAGAUGCUUAUGGUCUCACCUUCGUUGUCUGUAGAAGACAUGCAUGAGCACUUGACGUCCUGUGAAGGCAUAUAAAGUGAAAUAGCGCAUGGCUUCGAGCUUUCAUGGUUUCACCAGGCUUGUAGCACCUCAAACUGCAUAGAGGGGAAUUGUGUGCUCAAUAACGUGAGCAAAAUUAAGUGCUUUCGCUAUGAACCCAUAAAAUAUGAACCCAGAAAAGGUAGUGUCUAUUAUUCCUCUUAUUCACAAGGCUAGAGUAACCAAAUUAAUUCAGCAAAUAAUUAGUCUUCAAUUACUGGGAGUCUGUCUGUCUAUGGAGAGUUAGGUUUUACAACUCUAGAAUAAAUUAGGUCAUAUAAAUAUUGACGAGAUGAAUGGGAUGGGAGAUAAACUUUUAUUUCUAUUAAGUACGUAUUCGAGGCUAAAUUUAUUAAGGAAGGAUCGCUACCUUUCUUUUUGUACUUUCUCUUUUGACCUUUUUACUUUAUUUUUUAAGAUCUUACAUAUUACUUGAUAAUCAAAACUGUUUAUUUUGUAUACCACUAUAAACUAAUACUGCAAAAUACCCCAUUAAUCAGAAUUUAGAAUUCAUUUCACUGUUCGAUUAACGAUGUCAUGAUUUUUUGUUUAACUAAAGCACAUGGUUCACCUUUUAUUGAAUUCAUAUAUUGUUAUUUUUUCUAUAUUUAGAAAAUAGGCAGUUUGGAAUACCGAGUAAUAUUGUAAGAUCUUACAAAAAAAUGGAAGGUAAUAAGUGAAAGUGCAAACAGAAGGGUAGCUAGCAUUCUCCUAUGAUAUUAAUUUUCACCCUUUUUUUCUCUUAAUAGGAAAAAUAAUAUAUAUGAUCCUUAAUGAUAAUUCUUCUUCUUUUGCAAAGCAGAACAUUGGUACAUCAAGAUCUUACAGUCCAUACUAUUGGCACUAGGCGAGUGGUUUACUCUCUUAACGCAGCUUCUAUUUAAUACAUGUGCAGUUAGUUUCUUUAUUUGUGGUCACCUUGAUAUUUAUUAAAAAAUUACAUUUGGAAAGUAUGAUCGAUAUUCAUCGCUUUACUGCAGGAACGGUUUUACCAGAUGUAUUUGUCCAUCCGCUAUGGUCAGUUUAUCCCUUGGGACGAGUUGAGUGUGGAGCAAAAAAUAUUCACAAGGCGACACAUGGAUUUUUGGAUAAAAGAGGACAAAAAUACCCUUGAGGCAUACCAGGAUUCCUACACACGAGCAGCGGGCAAUCAUCCGUUAACCAAGUCAAAAAUGCCCAAAGAAGGUAACAAAUAAAAGUUAUUUUAUCCAUAUACUCCACAAGGUAACCAUUCCAAAUAUUCCAUUUAAAUUAGAUUAAUUGGUGAAUUAAUGGAUUUAUUUCCUAAUUAAUCCUUUAAAUCACCAAUUCAAUGACUCAUUAUGCCAAUUAAUCCCCCAUUACAUAACCCAUUACCCAAAAAUCCCAAAUGGCCGGCCACCCUUAUUGAUUUCAUCAUAUUCACCUAUUUUAAUUAGCUAGUUAAUUUGGCAAUAAUUUUAUUUGCUAAAUUAAUUAGUCAAUUAUUUUCAUAACUCCUAAAUUCAACCUAAAUCAAGAACCCUAUUCCUAUAAAUAGGCUCUCAUUCUCACCAAAAAUCUAGGUCAUGACUCUUGCUAAAAUUCUCCAAAGCUCUCAAACACUUUUCUCUCAAAAUUCUAACUUUGGCAUCAGAGGUUCUUCGGCCAAAGCCCUCCCCAUUCAUCGUGGGCGUGUGAGGCUCUUGGCCUUGACCUAAGGUGUUAAUUAUUUUGUAGGUGCAAUUUUGUCCAAGAUCAAGGAGGAAGAAAUUUGCAUCCACAAAUUGGUGCUUUCAUUGAGAGUUGAGAUCCAUACUCGUAGAAGACUCUCGCAUAAAAGGUUUUUUCUCUAUUUUCUAGUCCAUUUGAAUAUUUUUCAUACGUUCUUAUUGUUAGAAUUUUUUAUUUGCAAAGGUUCUUUGAUAAAACGUAUAAGAAAAAUAUAAUGGCUAGAAAUUUAGAAAAUUCCACAAGUGAAAAUUCUAAUACUUAAGAAAUGGGACCGCGACGAUCCACGAGGCUAAAUGUGGUCAUAGGCGGAGUGGUACCACCACUACGAGGUUCCAUCAUGGCCCAAGCAGUGCCAUCCAAGCUUGCACAGGUCCGAGCCCAAGCCUUGCAUUCGUAUGCAUCACACUCUGAGCAGCCUGCUCCCGACGAGCAGUCCACUCUCGUUGUCCAACCUGCUCCCGACGAGCAGCCCACUCUCGUGGCCCAGCCUGCUCCUGCCAAGCAGCCCACUCUCGCGGCCCAGCCUGCUCUCGUGGCCCAACCUGCUCUCGCAGCCCAGCCCACUCCCACCGAGCAGUCUACUCUCGUGGCCCAGCCUGCUCCCGAUGAGCAGCCCACUCCCGUGGUCCAGCCUGCUCCCGUCGAGUAGCCCACUCUCGCAGCCCAGCCUACUCUCAUGGCCGAGCCUGCUCCCACGGCCCAGUUUGCUCCCGUGGCUUUCCAAGCAGCCCAAGUCGGCCCAAGACUAUCUCAACUAUUCGGACCUACCAUCGAGCCAGAGGCAUUCUCACCAUAUUUUUUCUCGGAUUUGACAUUUUCCAACUCAAAUCUCGCGCCCGGAGUCUACCGCAUUUCCACUGCCAAAUGAGGCACAUUUCUUCCAAGUUUUUCCAACCCAAAUGGAGAACAACACUUGUCUCGACAAGUCAUAGAGUUGACGAGCGCCCUUGCAUAGCAGAUGAACUUGGUGAACCAGCUCUUGUAGCACACCGAGAUGCAAUGUGCCCCAGAUGAGGUGUCCCGAAGUAGGACAAGGGCAGACAAAGAACCUCUCCAGCAGCGCCCCGGUAAGCAGCCACUCGACCAGCCACUAACCGAGUGUUCAGGCAGUGUACACUCCCGAUUGGGCCCCCGAGAUAGCGUAUACUCUCGUCUUAGAGCACGGAGGAGCGUGCACUCUCGACUAGGCCCACAGAUAAGCAUACAUUCACGGUUGAGGUCACACUCCGAUAGUCAACAUGAGCAGCCUUCCAAGAGAAGUGUUCAUUCGCGGCUAAGCCCGCAAUGAGCAUCAUCCACCUCACAUCGGAGUAGACAACAUGACGGACAGAGAAAAACAGUCACUCAAUAUGGCUCAAGUUCAACCAGCAACCUGCGAAGAACUCGUUCGCCUGCUAGGAACGCGCUACAUGCACCGCAUAUGCGGCAUAGAUGAGCCAAACACAUGGAAGAACAGCCUAGACCAGUAAGUCAUAAUUGGGGGCAGCCGAGAGUUUCGCUACCCCAACAAAGGUAAAUUCAGGAAGAAGUAGAGAGACUUUUGACCAAGCGAUUGCGCAAUUUCCAACGUAAUGAGGUCACCGAUGAGGCACUACGACGGAACAUGACCAACAUAAGCAGGUCACCCUUCACGGACUAGAUCGAGUAAGCAGAGCCUCCACGCGAGUUCAGCAUGCUACAUUUCACAUCUUUCAAAGGGGAUGAAGACCCGGAUAAACACUUAAAGCACUACCGAAGCGCAAUGAUCCUUUAUCGAAACAACGAUGAUCUCAUGUGUAAGAUAUCCACCACCACUCUACAAGGCGAGGUGCAAGAUUGGUUCUACACCUUGCCGCCACAAUCCAUCUGGAAUUUCGACGAAUUUUCUUUGGUUUUCACCAAAGAAUAUUCAUCCUAUCGCUCGAUCAAAAAGAAGUUCAAACAUUUGUUCGACGUCAAGAAGAACCCAAAGGAGUCGCUUCGCGACUAUGUGAGGAGGUUCAAAGCAGAGAAGACAAAAAUAGUCGGAUGCAACGACUCGAUAGCUAGAGCAGCCUUCCAAAAAGGACUUCCAGCAGACCACCUAUUGUUCGAAAAACUGAUAAUGAAAGAAGAUCUAGCUCUGGCAGACUCUUUCGCUUUGGCAGAAAAGCAUGCACUUUGGGACGAAGUUCGCUGAUGCCCAUUUAAGGCAAAUCCAAGCGAUCUUGAAUAUGAAGUUCCCCACUACUUGGAAGGAGAUUCAAACUCUGACUGGACGAGUAGUCACAUCUGAAGCAGAAAUAAGCUCUACCAUUAUACGAGAAGAGCUGGGGGCCCGACUACCUGUAUUCCAUAGUUUAAAAGCUCUUAUUGAUGUUAUCAGAAAUUCAAAAACUAACUUUGGCGAUAGUUGUUGCAACCCGGAAGCUCAAGUUUUACUUUCAAACGCAUGCAGUCAUCCUCAUGACAUAUUAUUCCACCCAAUCUAGACUCGCGACGAUAAAGACGUAGACCCUGGAGGAUGCAAAGUUUUCUAACGAACGCAACAACUCGGCUCAAAAGACAUGCCCAGGGUAGACGAACACUGGAAGGGCACACUCGGAAGCAAGUUUUGUCCUCGUCACCCUAAAAGAUUCUACAUAGGAGUAACAUGUACCGGCAGUUGAGUACCAUCUCCUGCUGCGCACCACACGGCCCUAGCCGACCCUUGCUCAAUGAUUCAACUCUAGAGUGGCCCAAUACUGGCAGUUGAGCAUCUCAUGUUGCGUGUGACAUGGCCCCAUCUCCACAACUCCCUACUGCGCCUUCACGCCGAGCCUAGGUGACGCAACAGAGCGGCCCAACGAUGCCCCAGAAGUAGCUGAGCACACUCUAGCCACGCCUACUCCACCCGAUGGAGACUUCUGGCAUUUGUAUGUUGACGGCGCAUCCAACUACAAAGGCUCGUAAGCAGCCAUGGCCCUUAUCACCCCAGGCGGUUUGAUGCCCGAGCAGGCAAUCAUUCUAGGUUUCAAAGCAUCCAACAACGAAGCAGAGUACGAAGCCCUACUAGCAGGCCUUUGAAUGACAAAAGACUUGGCGGUGAAAAAGUUUUCAAUUCAUUCUGAUUCCUAGCUAAUCACCAGCUAGACUACUGGGGGCAAAGGCAUGAUGAUCGCGGCAACCGACUACUUCACCAAAUAGGUAGAAGCAAAGCCCAUGACGACCACGAUUCAAACGGACAUAGAGCGCUUCAUAUGGAGGAACAUCAUUUAUCAAUUUGGCUUCCUUAAUCUAUCGUCACCGACAACGGCCCGCAAUUCGUGGGCAAAGAUUUGGCGAAGUUCUUCCAAAAAUAUGGCAUCAAGCAGCACAUGUCUACGCCAAAAUAUUCUCAAGGCAAUAGGCGGGCCAAAGUAUCCACCAAGAUGAUCCUCGACUGCCACAAGAAAUCCCCCACCAAUAAGAAAAGAAAAUGGCCAGACGAACUCCCUGGAUGUCCAUGGGCAUAUCGCACCACCAAAAGACGAGCAACCGAAAGAAGAUGGCCACAAGCUUAAAUCUGGCAGAGGAGAAAUGCGAGCAGACUAUCACCCGCCUCGCAGCUUACCAACAGCAACUCCUCCCCAGCUACAACAAAAGGGCUAUGAUCCGGCAGUUUCAACCCAAAGAUCUAGUCCUAAGAAAAGCCUUCAUCACUGCCCACAGAGAAGGCUUCAAAAAGAUGAAUCACAUCUGGGAAGGUCCGUACAAGAUCAGCAGAGUAGGCGGCAAGAGUAAUUACACCAUCGCCACCAUAAAACGGCAAAAAGAUCGAAAAACAAUGGAUGGCCUACAAUCUGAAGAAGUACCAUGUGUGACUUCUCGCUACAUCAAAACCCGAAGACUCAAGAAGCUCGAUGGGCACCACCUCAAAAGCCAAGGACUAUCCAGUUGUUAUGCAGUUCCUACCUUACAGCUAAGUUCUCGUUUGUUUCACUUGUUUUUUCAAUGAGGAAUUCAGAAGAAAUCACAACUUGGCUCGGCUGCAUGCUUACAACAACUGAUCACUCCUGCAUUUCAGAAGAAAACUACGCCCUACUUAGGGACUCAUCGCAGGAAUUGCGCCCCCCCCCCGAGAGACCAACCAUGCUCUCCAGUGCGAGAGAGUAAACUAAUUGCUCUCCAGUGCGAGAGGGUAAACUAAUUCCCCGACACCCGUAUGGGUCAGCUCUCUAAGAAGAGAGGAUAAAUUUUACACUCCGAAUAUCCAGACGUGGAUGAGCCUGGCUGCUUUAGUAUAACUAGAUGCACGAUGGCUUGCGUCGGGAUUCCUAGAAGUAGCCACAAUGGUCUUUUUCAAGGCUUAGCUAACUGAAAGAUUUUGGGUCUCUUGGCCUAAUCCGUGGGGAACCGGGCCCUAGAGACGGAGGGGGCACAUUACGCAGUACGCCCUACAAACGGCUGCCCUAGAACCCUAAAGCUGCUACCGAGUGCACUAAGAUAGCCUACGAUUUCCGGAAGACUACCUACGGCUUGCCCUUCGAGCAGUAAAAUCGCGUUAGACUUAUACAACCGCACAUUCUUGUGAAAGGUUAAACAAGCUAGCGUGCAUAUACGAAGCUUUAUCCACUGCCGACAUGCUACGUAGUUGAUAAGCUUCACAUCUGCUAAGCACGAAACAACCUACACCAAGUCCUAAAAUGUUGUGAUAUUUGCUACGUAACCUACGGAAUUGGAGAAAGUCAAGGUUAGCAGCCUAGUGGUUACGUGGACUUGUCUGCUUCUGUAAGUAAGGCAUCCGGCUGCCAACCCUAUGGCUAACAACUUUGCAAAGUUCUACACCAACACCUACGACUGCAUAGGCUACGCGAGCUUGUCUACUUAUAAAAAAAGUAGCAUGCCUGCCACUAGUCUAUCAAGUCUAAAGGUUAGGGCAUGAACAAAAGAAUUAAAGAUGAAGAAAAGCGAAGGAAAACAUGUUUAUAAACAAUUAGCAAAGGCCAAAGGAGUUCAAGCAAAACAAGAGCUACAAGGAAAAACAAAGAAAAUCCUAAAGGCUACCUAAAAUACUACACUACAGCAGCUUGGACAUCCCACGACUACUCGGUCGCCACACCUUCAGCAGCCAUAACGCUCUUAGCAACGGCAUCAUCCGGCGCUUCACCCCAGGCUGCCCAAGCCUGGGCACUAACGUCUCCAACUACUUCACCAAUAGAAGCCUCAAAAGUAAAAGCAAGCAAGUCUUCCAGAGAAAUAGAGAAACCUCAAGUCUAUCCUUCUCACCCUUCAGCUGCUCAUUCUUCUCAAGCAGACUAACACGGAUGCGCUGCAGCUCAUCCACUCCAUUCAAAGCAACAAGCUCAUAAUCCAACCUCUUGAUCUCCUCGGCUGAGGAAUAAGCUUCAGCUGCCAUAAUCUUUGCCACCUCCUUGACAGCCUUGCUAUAUAUGCAUCAUAACAAGCAGAGCAAUCCUUCUAUAUUAGGUCGUAUGUUUCGCAAAGGAACUUGGGCAAACAACCUCUCUACCGCCAUCAACAAACUUGGCACAAGCGUCCAUGUCUUCAAGCAGAUCUAGUUUCAAAAGCACAAUGAUCUCAGCAGCCUCCCCAGAAGCAGGCUUAGUGGAUUUCUCACAGCUGCCCACACAAGCAGUAUAUUCCUUCCUAACAGGCGAAUCAGUCUCAGCAGCAAAGGGAGUGGGCAUUGGUGCCACUUUAGCAGCAGAGUCCACCUUACCACUCUUCAAUAGCAAGUCUCUCCAAAGGUGAACCAGACUUGGCUCAAAACGAAUGUCUUGGUAUAGACUUCGGCACUAGGGGCAUGAUAAAACCUUUACGCUGAGCAAUCUUAUCAACAAUUGUACUAGCCAUUUUCAACAUGGAAGGCACCACAUGAUCAGAUCUAGCAGCCUCAUUUUUCUUCCCAUUAGAAGAAGUCAUGCCAAUCACAGACCUCUCGACAGCAGACAGAUCAUCAUGAGCAGCAGUGGAGAAAGUCUUCAAUUUUUCUCAAUCGGUAUCUCUUGAGUAGGCGGGGAAGAUCUCUUCUUUCCAUCUUCAUUCAUAGUAGACUCCACGACAGCGAUUAGACGAGCCAAUGCAUCCGCCUUGAUCCUCUUGAUCCUCUUUACCUCCUCUUUCGGGAGCAGCCCACCUUUCCCUUGGCAAAAAGAACUAAGCAGCCAACACCAUUCACGGUACUCAGCAAAAGAGCUCAACCCAGCAUUCUAGCAGGCACGAAGCCUGCAUACCCAGCAUUCCAGCAACUUAUGAAGCCCAUGACAUCCUCAUUUCUUUUAGUCGCCAGCCUGGCCCGAGUAAGGUCCAAAAGCCCAAAAGACAUGAGCCAUGUGGCUUGCCUAGCAUUGCGCCCCAACGCCAUAAUUCGCGGCCCCAGCCGCACAAGCUGCCAUUGGCUCUAACCAAGCCAAACAGCCCAAGCAGUAGCCCCUGCCAUAAUGCCUCAUCGGUUGAUGCCGAGCCGACUCCUGGCCCUUGCCAGCCGACGUGUCGUACCACCCCGACGGCUGCCCUGCAAUAGAACUAUCCAAGAAGAAGACAAGAAAAAAAAAUUUAAUUUUUCUUACAUUGGUGUGGCACGGAGAAGAUGAAGAAAUCAACAAAAAACGGUCUUUUGCACGGGCAAGAUGUAGAAGAUUGCUAGAGGAGGGGAAACAAAUAUCCUCUAAGCUCUCUCUCUCUUGUAGGGUAUAAUAAAUCGCUCUCCAAAGUUAAUUUAAUAACCCACUUAAGGUGGACUUAAAUAGGCUUUAAGAGAAAUUUAUUUCCCUUUCCUAGAAGGAUCUAAUUUCCUAUUAAAGAGAGAAUCUACAUCAAAAUAGGAAGCAGUCCUACGUUUCCUAAAGCAAGAUGAUCUCUACACCUGCUGCUCUUUUCUGUGAGCAGCCCAACAGGUGUGGGGGCAUUUGUGGAGCCAAAAAUAUUCACAAGGCGACACGUGGAUUUUUGGAUAAAAGAGGACAAGAAUACGCUUGAGGCAUACCGGGAUUCCUACGCACGAGCAGCGGGCAAUCAUCCGUUAACCAAGUCAAAAAUGCCCAAAGAAGGUAACAAAUAAAAGUUAUUUCAUCCAUAUACUCCACACAAGGUAACCAUUCCAAACAUUCCAUUUAAAUUAGAUUAAUUGGUGAAUUAAUGGAUUUAUUUCCUAAUUAAUCCUUUAAAUCACCAAUUAAAUGACCCAUUAUGCCAAUUAAUCCCCCAUUACAUAACCCAUUACCCAAAAAUCCCAAAUGGCCGGCCACCCUUAUUGAUUUCAUCAUAUUCACCUAUUUUAAUUAGCUAGUUAAUUUGGCAAUAAUUUUAUUUGCUAAAUUAAUUAGUCAAUUAUUCCCAUAACUCCUAAAUUCAACCUAAAUCAAGAACCCUAUUCCUAUAAAUAGGCUCUCAUUCUCACCAAAAACCUAGGUCCUGACUCUUGCUAAAAUUCUCCAAAGCUCUCAAACACUUUUCUCUCAAAAUUCUAACUUUGGCAUCGAGGUUCUUCGGCCAAAGCCCUCCCCAUUCAUCGUGGGCGCGUGAGUCUCUUGGCCUUAACCUAAGGCGUUAAUUGUUUUGUAGGUGCAAUUUUGUCCAAGAUCAAGGAGGAAAAAAUUUGCAUCCACAUUGAGGUCUAACACCGUUUACGGGUGUCUGAUAACUGUGCCCUCUCUCCUAGGUAGUGUAUUUGUCCAUCACUUUGCUGCAGAAACGGCUUCGUACCAGAUGUAUUUGUCCAUCCGCUAUGGUCGGUUUAUCCCUAGGGACGAGUUGAGGUCUAACCCCCUUUACGGGUGUCUGAUAACUGUGUACUCUUUCCUAGGUACUGUGAACUACUCGUACUCAGCUAUAAUGCAACUUUUUCUAGCUUCAGAUACUCAUCAUUCAAAAAUGAAUGUUUGAUGAUCACUUUGUUUUUGUUUUCAUUCUUAUUAUUAUGUUUUAGUUAAAGGUUGCAGGGGAAUAUGGAAGAAUAUAUAUGAGAAAGAUGUGAAAAGGACAAGGAGGAUCGAGGUGGAUAGAGAAAUUGUUAUUGUCUUUGAAACAAAAAGUGUUUUCCUUUAAUUUUUUGUUUCAUAAAUUCUCCAUUUCUCCAUCAUCCCCCUCCCCAUCCCCAUAUCUUCUUUCUACAAUUUCCCCUCGCCUUUUUUCUCUCUCUUUUUAGAUUAAAAAAUAAAACAAAAGGAUUACCAAAUUGUUGCUUAAUUAAUGAAAAAUAUCGUUGCACUAAAGGAACAAGUUUGAUGAUAUUACAGCAAUCAAUCUAUUUGGUGACUCCAAUGUUUUUGAAGUUGAAUAUCAGAGUGCACAACGAACAAGACUAACAAGAAUAAUAAGAAUAUUAUUAAACAAACUGAGAAUGCCGGAACGGCUGUAAAACCCUAAGAGACUACAUUGUGAAUAACUUAUUUUCAAACUAAAUUACAAGCUCUAUUUAUAGAGCAAUAAACCUAAGAAACCCUAAUGCUUAAAUGCCAAAAAUACCCUACUACAAAAUCAAAUCAAAUCUUAAUUAAUUUCCUAAAUAAACCUAAUAAAUUCCAACACCCCCCGUCAAACUCAUGGCGGUACACGACAUGAGUUUGCCAACAAGCAGAUGUGGAUGCAAGCCUCCAAAUUCCAAUGCCGAUGCCGAUGCCGAUUUCCGAUGCCAAUUUCAAUACGAAAUUCCAUCAGUGCAAGUGCAAGAUUCCAAUGCCAGUGCAAGAUUCCAAUGCCAGUACCAGUGCAAAUGUCGAUGCCGAUGCCUAACAAACAAACAAAAAAUCCAACCAAAUAUUCAACAUCACCAGCCUCCUUCUGUUCGAUUCCUUCCUUUUUUUUUUACCUUCUGUGCGAACCAACGUGCGACCCAACAUCACCAACCUCCUUCCUUUUUUUCCUUCUGUGCGAUUCCUUCCUUUUUUUUGUACCUUCUGUGCGAACCAACGUGCGACCCAACAUCACCAACCUCCUUCCUUUUUUUCUUCUGUGCGAACCAACAUCACCAGCCUCCUUUUUUUUUUUUUCGCGAGGGUACAGUUGUGGACGGAUCCAGAUGCAGGGUGGGGUUGGGGAAUGCAGAAAUCCUAGUGCGAUGGAUUCACCAAAUUCCUUUUUUUCAAAAAACAGAAUUUUUUUUCCCUUUCUUGAAGACUACCAAGGACAAACUGAAAACCAAACCAGAAAACGUAAAAAAUCUAUGAACAAGAAUAACACAAUUUGACGGUCAAUACCGAAAUCCAAAGACAAAGAACAUAAACAGAAAUCCAAAGACAAAACGAACAAAAAACAGAGUGACCAAGAACAAAGGACACAGACCAAAGCGGAAGCGAAAGCCUAAACGAGACCCAAACUAAACCAAAAAACAAAAAGCGACAAAACAAAUUGAUACCAACAAGAACGGAUUGAACCAUAAGGAUCAAACCCGUUCUGAUACCAAGUUGAAUAUCAGAGUGCACAACGAACAAGACUAACAAGAAUAAUAAGAAUAUUAUUAAACAAACUGAGAAUGCCGGAACGGCUGUAAAACCCUAAGAGACUACAUUGUGAAUAACUUAUUUUCAAACUAAAUUACAAGCUCUAUUUAUAGAGCAAUAAACCUAAGAAACCCUAAUGCUUAAAUGCCAAAAAUACCCUACUACAAAAUCAAAUCAAAUCUUAAUUAAUUUCCUAAAUAAACCUAAUAAAUUCCAACAUUUGAAACGUGCAAGACUAUUCCAAGUAGUCAAAUUUUUAUUUGGCUUUCCCUGUGUAAUUGCAUUAAUAAUAUACAAAUGCAAAAGGAGGCACUUGUCCAUGUAUGAAAAUAUAGAAGACUUUCUGCAGAAUAAUCAGCUCAUGCCAGUAAGGUACUCUUACUCGGACAUAAGAAAGAUGGCCAGAGGUUUUAAGGACCAGUUAGGGGAAGGUGGCUAUGGUUCUGUGUACAAGGCAAAGCUUCGCAGUGGUUGUCUUGUAGCCAUCAAGAUGUUGGGUAAGUCGAAAUCUAACGGGCAGGAUUUUAUCAAUGAAGUUGCUACCAUUGGAAGGAUUCACCAUGUUAACGUGGUGCAACUUAUUGGUUUUUGUGUCGAGGGUUCAAAGCGUGCUCUUGUAUAUGACUUCAUGCCUAAUGGGUCUCUUGAUAAGCACAUAUUUUCUCAACAAGGAGUUAUCUUCUUAAGUUCCGAGAAAAUGUUUAAAAUCUCACUUGGAGUGGUUCGUGGUAUUGAAUAUUUGCUUCGAGGAUGUGACAUGCAAAUUUUUCACUUCAACAUCAAGCCUCACAACAUUCUUCUCGGCGAGAACUUUCUUCCGAAGGUUUCUGAUUUUGGGUUAGCAAGGCUAUGCCCAUUAGAUAAUAGCAUUGUGUCUUUGACUGCAACGAGAGGAAUCAUCGGAUACAUAGCUCCAGAGUUAUUCUACAAAAAUAUUGGAGGUGUUUCGUACAAAGCUGAUAUCUAUAGUUUUGGGAUGCUACUUAUGCAAAUGGCUAGAAAAAGAAAGAACUUAAACGCAAAUAUAGAAUGCUCGAGCCAAAUAUACUUUCCGACAUGGGUUUCUAACCAGCUGAGGGGAGGAAAUCCGAGAUGCUACAGAGGAGGAAAAGAAAAUCAUUAAGAAGAUGAUUAUUGUGGUGUUGUGGUGCAUACAAAUGAAGCCUAGCGACCGUCCUUCUAUGAAUAAGGUUGUAGAGAUGCUUGAAGGAGAAAUCGAGAGCCUUCAAAUGCCUCCAAAGCCUUUCUUAUACCCACAACAAAUGCCAAAGGUAGUUACUGGCAGCAGUUCAAGUACCGCAUCAGCUGCAUCGAGGACAACGACAACAUCUACAAAAAUUGUUUUGAUUGCAGAUGAAAAUUCACACAGUUAAUAUAGCUAGUAGCAAUGUUGAUGUGCAAAGGAACAUUUAGUGUACCCAAAAGCACAAAUAGACCGACACGCCCCGACCCUGAUAUUCUCCGAAUACCAGGACUGACACGUGCUGGCCGACACCCGGGGGUGACGAAAGCCAUUAAUUGAGACAAAAGCUAAGAAUAAGAAAUAAAUAAGGGUUAUGAAUUUAAAAUACCAUGAAUUAAUAAAUUAGGAACGUGUUCAGAGCAUACAACUAAACCUAGUCACUAACAAAAAUUAAGAUAAGAUUGAAUGAACAAAAGAGUGGGUCCUACCCCGAGAUGACUCGACGAUGCUGCUGCGGAAGUGUCUUGACGCCGGGAUUAGGUGCCUUGAUUCUAAGUCCUGAAUGGGGGCGCAAAACAAAGAUGAGUGGACCAAGUUUAUAUAUAUAUAAUAAUAAUAAAACAGUUCUCAAGUUACUAACCCCCACAGUUUAUAUAAUGAAAACUACUAGCAUAAUAAGUGAUGGAUUUAAUAAAAAUCCUAGCAUGCCAAAAAUAUCUCAAAAGCCAUAUAUCGCGGAAAAGCAUAGCGGAAAUCGAAACAUCAAACGUCUCAUAAAUCGUCUCGUAAACGCGGUGUGCUGCUAGUAGCUUGCCGUUGAAUAAAUAUAACUCCUGGCCAAUGCCUGCCAAAUAGCUCAACUCUCUCUCCAACUCACUAGUCUCUCCCUGCCCGCCAAUUAUUUCUUCCAGCCAUGAUAAUACCAGGCCGGCAUCUUACUAAAUAGGCCUCUCCAAUCGGUCCAAUGCCUCUCUACCAAUCCUAUUGUAAAGGAAUUAUUUUUCCCAGCCUAAAAUGUUCAGGCUAGUCUUAACACCUCUCAUAAAUAAACAAGCAUAGAUACCGAUCAAUCGUCUACACUAUAAAGAGGGGAAUUUCUCUAAAUAAGAGAUAGUUAUGGUUUUUAUAAAAUAUACCAUAUUAUGCAAUAAAACAAUUUUAAUUCCUCACCAAAUUCAUAGCUUCAAUAAAUUCAUUUUUCAGUUCAAUAAUUUAAUCAUAAUCAUAAAAUCAUAUGCUAAUUUCAAUUAAAUUAUAAAAUCAUGUAAUUUUAGAAGGGGUCCACUCACAAAUAUUCCUUAGCAGAAGAUUCGCGCGGAUAAGGAUAUAGAAUUUCUCCACUAGCAAUUUUACCUAAGAACAAGAAUGCACUAAUUAAAUAAAAGGAUUUUCUAAAAGAUUGGGUUGAACUAAAUAAAAUAAGGGAAUUGGGUUUGGAUGGGUUUACGUUUUAAUGGGUUUUAGGAACCUAGGGCUUUUUGGGUUAAAAGGGUAUUAGGGUGAGAAAAUUGGGGUUUGGGCUUUAGCCCAAACACAUACACACACUACAAUUACACACACACACACGAGCACAAAGGCCUUAAAGCCUUAUAAAAAAAACAGGGCUUUAAGCCCUUGGUUUAAACCGGCCCAAGGCCAUUUUAAAAUAAGGCCCGAAGCCUUUAGGGGUUUUAAAUACAAAAUGAACAAAAUUUAAAAACUAAAGGGGGCUGGGGGUUUUGGGCUAAGACAACACGGGCCUAAGGCCCGAGGGUAUUUAAAACGGCCUGAAAGGCCUAGGUUUGCGGAAGAAGAAAGCCCGAGCUGCUACAGCUCCGGUCACCUGAAAACGAGGGUUCUAGACCCCGAUCUAAGUACGAAAAUGAAGAGCAAGAUGAGGGGAAAAGAUUUAUACCUUCCAAAAACCGUAACUCGAUCGGAGAUGACUGGAAAAAGCUCCCAAAGUCCACGGUUCGCCGAAAAAUGGGUGUGCUCACCCACAAUGAUUUCCGAAGCAAAAUCUACGUAAAAAUGGAAGGUUCAAGCUUCUAAAUCACAACCAAACAUCAAGGUAACAACGAGAAUGAGAGAUUUGUGAUUUACCUCAACGAAAAGAAAGAAAAUGCUCACCGGAGCUUUGCUCCGUGUUGUUGAACUCGCAGGGCAGGGUCUCUGGGCUCGUGGUGAGCCUCUCCUGAUGGUGACUCGGUUCUAGUGAGUCCAGGGGGAGAGAGAGAUGCAAGGUCGAGGGAGAGAGAGAUACACGGGAGAGCUGAGAGAGCUGAGAGAGUGUAAGGGAGACAGAACUGCGAGAGAGAGAGAUGCGGGAGAGGUGAGGGAGAAGAGAGAACUGAGAGAGGAGAGUGGGAAACCGGAAAACACAAAAAAUAAAACAAGGUGGGCCCCACAGGCUCACCAAUUAAGGACUAAAACCAUUUUUUAAAUAUAAAAGAGGGUUGGGGUGUUUCAUAGACUACCUGAAUUUAAUGGCAUUGAUUGCUUUCUGGUUUUCAGUUUUUAGCUUUGGCACGUACAAGGAUUAAUUUAUGCACAAAUCGUCUCUCGAUUAGUAUGGAAAAGCUUUGGAUAUAUAAUUUGUGUAUGAGCAAAGUUCGAUAUCUAUAACUUAUGUUGAAGAAUGCAAUCCUACAUAAGAAACUAAACAAAUUACACAGCUUAUAUCGAAUGGUUCCACUUCCAAUUGCAUAUGAGAAGCUUUAAGAGGAGGAGAAGGUACCUGAUCAAGGCGUGGCUAUCUUUGAUUAUUAUCUCAGGAUGUGCAUUUGAAUUCAAAUUAACUUAGCAAGGUAGAAUUAAUAUUUAUUCAUAAAAAGACUAAAGCAGAUCGCCUUACAUAUGCGACCCAAUUAAUAUUUAUUGCAAUCAAUAGGCUUAAAAAAGAGUCUCUUUCGUUUGUGCCAUGUUGCCAAAGACCGCGAUUUCUCAACGAAUGGGUCUGAAAGCAAAGCAAACAACAUCCAUUGACGCUCUUAUAAGAAAGUGUUGAAAGCUUGUAACUUCACAUCUGCACCAGUGAAAUGCGCAGUGAUUAUCGGAGCUUUGAUAGUCGAUUUGGUCUUGUAGCAGAGGCAUAGGAAGCGUUGAGGGGUCAGUCAGACGUCUUAAUCUUAUGGACUUGCUCACUGUCAAUUCCAGCUUAUUGUACAAGUCCUCCGGCAACAAUGUCAGGGUAGUACCUGAAUCAACGAUAAUAUUGCCCUUUGCUGGAGCUAAUGAAGGGUUCAGUGAACUGCCCGACACUCAUUGCUUCAAGCCCUAGAUAAUAUAAAUAUUGGAGUGUGCUAUCCACACAUCUCUUUUUACUUUUCACACACCCCUUGUUAAUUCCUGUCCGUUGAUCUUCUUUAAUUCAUCCGAUCUGACAGCCGAAAACCAAAAAGGUAUGGGAGAAGUAAAAAAAGGUGUGUGGAUAUCACACCCCUAAAUAUUUUGAGCCUCCAGAAGAAAGUAAUGGGGUAGAAAACGCUGUGGCGCCAGAAACCACAGCUUCAUUGCCGUAGCUCAUUGUGCUUGAUGAGUUGAAUCCUGAAAAGGCAUGCACAAGGCAGUAGGAAAAUUUCCCGUCGAUUGAAGAACUCAUCUGCGAGAUGGGGGACACAGGUCCACGUCCCAACCGUGCCUGAUCCAUUUCUGUUAAAGAGGCCUCCAUUGUCUUGUCCACAACCAAAUAUCAUUUGUGGGAAUGAAACUGGUUGCCCAGCAGUGGAGUUAAAUGUGACACUUUCUGUGGGUCUAAAACUUCCUUGCUGUAGGAUCUGCCUCCGUAAGAAACUGUGUAAUUACAAACUUCAGCUGUGUCAGGAGGAGAAGAAGUUCCGGUCACAAAUUUGCAUUGGCUUGAGUUCCGAGGAACUUGUGUGUAAGUUUUAGAAUUCUUUGGAUCGAAAGUUGGCGCUUUCUGCUUGUAACAAUUGAUGCAGGGUAUGCAUUGCGUCCAUGUAAGAUCACUACCUGUAUCUGCAGCGCCUAAGAUUUCAAGAGGAGGUGUACCUACUGAUAUUUUCAUGAGAUAUUCACCCGUGUCUGAGACUAUUGUAGAUCUAGGCAAGUUUGAAGGUGAUGAAGUUGGGUUCAAGCGAUUGACAAGGUUAAUGGAACACCGCAAAGCAUAGUCACACGUUGCAAAGGCGUUAAUUCUAAAGGAUCAUAGAGAGGAGAGACUGGAGAGUCGCAGUGAAUAAGUUGUAUGCUGAAGCUGCCAUUGCGAUCAGCUUGAAUAAGAGAGAACUGGGAGAAAUAUGGAGCAGAUAAUGUGAGUGCUAUUACGGAGGAGAAAGAAGGGAUAGCACAGUGGCUCCCAUGGUUCUCCGAGAAGCUUGUACGAAGUUAAGAUAUCAAAUUACAGUAUCAGUGAUGUCUUCGAUUUGAGGUGCUUCUGUGUGACUGUCCAGAAUCCAGAUCCUAACUCCAUGAGCAGUGAAAAGUGCAACCCUUAUUCAAAGUCUAAUUUAUUGUUUUUGCUAUAAUAUUCAAUGCCUUAGUUUAGAUAACGUGGCAAGGGACUUGUAGCUGGAUUAAGCAUUGCAUCCAAGGUUGUGUGUUCAAUUCCCUUCCCUUGAUAUCGCUUGUAAAAAAUGACAUAGUUUUUAGACACAAAAGAAGUGAAACAUGUGUCGAAAGAAACUUGAGCUACCACACUCCUCACUGCCUCAUUAUGAAAAGAAGAGGGAUUUUAGACACAAGUGAAUAGGGCAAACUAGACUAGAAAUGCAGGGCACAGUGCAAAAUUAUAUACCCUUGCAUCUUUUAGUAAAGAAAUUUGGCUAAAAUUAACAACGAACAUAAACCGCAGGGGCCGAAUUUCACCUUUGUAAACUACAUGUAGCAUUUAUACUUUUGGCCUAAUAUAACCAAAGAAACCACCUUCAGGCUUGAAGGUAUUGCAAAUGAGGCAGGAGGUCAAAACCUCUAAGCCCCCAAGAUAAGCUGAUCCACUAAGAAUUCCUAUAAAUCGUAUUACCCCCAAAACCGCUCAAUUGGCCUCCUUCCAUUUAAGCUAAUUUAAUCUACAGUAGUUUGUAUAUAACCUAAAGAGAAAAUUUCACGAGCUCAAACUAAAUUGCCUCCAUGCUUUCAAACACUAUCACGAAAAAACAGGCAACAAUUAGAGCUCCCAUUUGCUAUACCUCUGUAAUCUUAAGGAUCUUCGGAUUCUUCAUCCUUAUCUUCUGCAUUGCCCCGCCACCUAACUGGCCCAGACCAUCAUAAUCAAUUGUUCCCUACAAAAUACAAAACUUUGCUUGGAGGAUCAUAGAAUUCAUCGCAAUCAACUUGCCUAAAGACACCCCAAGUUAAUUUGAACAAAGAUUUAGAGCACUGUGACGAUAAAAAUUAGAGUUACUCUUUACGAAGGAAUUAGCACGUGUUUUAACAAAAGUAAGUUUCACAAAGCAGCAUUUUUGCAAUUGUUAAUUGCCUUUGGAAAAUUGAAAAGUAAGUCAUAUGAUAAAGUUCAGAGCAUAAACUUACAGUAACCACCAUAGGAGCAAAUGGUUUCGCAUCUUCUGGCUGUUCAACUGGAAUUGGUGGAUAGUUCACACUUUGAACUAGGAAUCUUGACUGCCAUUCAGAACUAAAAGUUUGCAUGCACGUAGACACCAGAAAGUUGAGUAGCUAUGGAUAAAUUAAACCGUAAAGAUAUGAACCUCAUCUGUCCACUCAAGAGCAAGAUCAUCUGCAUCAGGACACUUCCCUAUCCAAAUGACGAUGUUCCUGUAUUCCACAGUAUACCAAAACCACAUAUUCAACAGUAAUUCAAACAAUGAACAUAUGAACAAGAAUCCAUCAAGGAAGACAUGGAAGGGGCGGUCCUCAGGUUCAGAGAUGGAUGGAGAUGGCAAAAGAUGUACUGGUACAUAAAUGUCAUAAAAAAAUCCAAGGGACACUGCCAGUUAAAGAUUGAAAAUCAGACCAUGGACUUGGAGUAGGAGUUUGUCAAUGCAUUGCUGCACAAGGUGCAUGUGUAGUGAUAAUUACUUGCACCAAAGACAACCUAAGAAGUAAUGAAACCCAAGAAUAGAUCAGUAGAUAUAAACAUAAGAUCAUUAGAUCACAACUUUUAGUAGUAGCUAAUUAAAAUGAAGAGUGCAAUGAGAAUUAACAGAAAAUCCCACCUUCAGCUGCUAAGAGCAAACUAGAAUUCAUCAUCAGGCACAAAUCCCCUUUGAAGCAUUUCAUCAUGGAACCGAAAUGCCUCCUUCAAAUUAUCCUUGGUCACAUGUCCAUUUAUCAUUGACGUAUAAGUGGAUCUAUCAGGUUUUACACCUUUCUCAAUCAUCUUCCGCAAUACUAGCUCAACUUCGUGCAUUCUACCUUGCCAACAGAACCCAUUUAGAAAUAUUGUAUGUAAACUGAUCCGAUAAUAUCCCUUGCUUUUCCAUCUCCUUAACUGAGGAAAAAGCUUUGUCCAGAUUCUCUUCUUUUACAUAACCAUUAAUCAAAGUGUAGUCAGUAAUACUGUCGGGAAGAAUUCCUCUUGAAAUCAUUUUGACUAUAAGAACUCAUCCGCCUUUGUUGUGUCACCAGAGCGGCAAUAACCUUUAAUGACAGCGUUACAUGUAACUAGAGUGGGGUUUGAUACCUUCUUCAAUCAUCUGGUCCCAUAAACUCAACGCCUCAUGCACGUUCCCCAUGCUACAAAAUCCAUUAAUUAGAAUGCCAUAUGAAAUGUGGUUGGGUAGUAUCCUUCUUGAAACCAUGUCACCCCAUAACUCCUUAGCUUUAUCCAUUCCACCUAGUUUGCAGAAGCCAUCAAACAAUGUGUUGUAUGUGACUAUAUCAGGCUUAAUAUUUCUUUUUGUCAUUGCAUCAAACAGAUUGAGAGAUUUGGUCAUAUUCCCAUGCUUGCAAUAACCAUGAAUGAGUGUUGUGAAAGUAUAAAAACCAGGAAUGACACCCCUUUCCACCAUUUCAUUGAAAAAACUCAUCUGCGUCAGAAAGCAUCUUCUCCCAACACAGUCCAUUUAAAAUUGUAUUGAACGUUACCACAUCAAUAGCACAACCUUGCUCAAGCAUUUCAUCAUGCAACUUCAAAACCUCUAACACCAUUCCCUUUCUACAAUAUCCAUCUAUAAGGAUAGUGUAGAUCACAUUAUCCGGAACCAAGCCUGCCCCUUUCAUAUCUCAAAAAUAUACUAAUGCACGAUCAAUAUUUUUAUUCCUCGAAAAAAACCCAAUAAGUGAACUGAAACUAACUAUAUCAGGAACAACACCUAUGUGACAUUUCAUGGAAGAUUUCCUCAGCCUCUAAAAUAUCAUCUUUUCUACAGCUCUCAACAAGCAUUGGAUUAUACAUAGUAGUAUCAGGAUUCAACCACCUUGCAACAUUUCAUACAAAAGUUCCUUUGCUCUCACAUAAUUUCCUACUUUACAUAAGCCAUUUAUGAUAGCAUUGUACGUGAAAAGCUCAGGUUUCAACCCCUUAGAAGACAUAGAGUUUUUUAACUGAAAAGCUUCUUCAGGAAGCCCUUCACGACAAUAUGCAUUGAUUAGUGUAUUAUAUGUCACAAUAUCUGAAAACAACCCCUUCUCUUCCCUAUCUGAUAAGAAGAAUUUAACGCUAUCAAUUUUGCGAGCUUUGCAUAAGGCAUUGACCAUUAUAUUCGGUGUAUAAACAUUUAACUGAAUCCCACUGCUAACAACUUCCCCAUAUACGACCCAUGCCAAAUCAAUCCACCCGACCUUCACAAGCCCGCCAAGAGGACUAUUGCAAGCAUUUAUCAAAACACAAACUCCCUUGCUUCUAAACAGCUGAAACGCCUCAAAUCCUUCUCUCAACUUCUUAGCCUGCACAUAAGUUCUAACAAACAUAUCAAAGACCAAAGAACUUGAGCCGCAACUGCUAUAAGUUGAAACCAAAGAGUCUGCUACUUCAACACACGAAAUGCCACUCUUUCUAACCAUUCUAAGAAUCAGAGCUUGUGCAUCCGACGCUGUUCGACCACGCACCAACAUGUGAAUCAUUGCACUCAAAGACAGUGAUGAAUGCUUAAAAUCAGGACUAUUUAACAGAAUCAAAUCAAUAAACUUCAGACCCAGUUGCAAAUUUUCACGGCAGCAAGAAAGAACAACAACAAUAAGAGACGGGUUUAACCGAAACAGAAAGCUGCGCAAAGAGGUGAGGUUACCUUGCUUCAGACCUAAUAAAAUCUUUUCCACCAAAAGAGAAUCUGAUAAAGAAGCUGAUGGCUUGUACUACUACAGGGUUCUUGUGAUUGCAUACUUUUAAGACCAAGUUCCAGGUCAUUUGAUGGACAAUAUGCUAAACAAUGAGGUCUAUGAGAGUGAAAGAGUGAGUGUUCGUUGGUUUUGUGAAGGUUGUGCGGGUUCUCGGACCUACAUUCUCAAAAUUAGCCAAUGGGUUUGCAUGUUUGAAACUAUAAUUUUGUUUGUUAUUAAUUUUAUUCUAAGAUGGGUGGAUAUAGUGAUGACAUUAUCCUGACGGUAUGUUAUCUUUCAUCUAAAAUAAUCAUCUUUUAUCUUCAUCACUCACUUAUUCUCUGAAAUCUCUAAUAUAGGAUUGCAUUUAUCAACACUCCUCAAUAGAACCUGUCUUUUAUGGGCCACAUGUGCAACCAACACUCACUUUUUCUCAAGUAGCACAAGAUUGUCAUGAAAUUGUCGUUAGGUUGGGCCGGAUCGAGAAGAACCCGCUUGAUACAAUUCAAGAUAUAAGCCUAGUGGCUCAUUAUUAAUCACACCCAUAUUUUCCUAACAUAAUCACAUGUACAACUUUGCAGGCGUUCAGUUUUAUCACAAUCAACCUUAGUGAAAAGGGGAGACAUUUAAUAUAAUUUGUUAUUUAUUCUGCCAAGUGUUCGUUGUGAAUUAAUACGAAUUAAUAAUUUGGUCAAGUUGACUGAAUUGUAAUCAACUUUAUAACUAAUAUAUUCUAAACAUUCAAUGGAUAUGCUUCCUGCGGGUUAGAAUUUCUUGAUCAAGCAUGCGUCAUUGGAGCCGAUUCAAACGUUGCUAUAUACUAUCACCUUCAGAAAAUAGAUUUCUAUUACUAUCAGACAUGCAUAUAAAAAUUCAGUUCAAAUAUCAUGUCUCCAUCUUAUGUUUGUUAGCUAUUUCCUUUCUAGCUAGGUCAUCAUCAGUUAAACUUUCAUGAAACUUAUUCUCAUUAAAUUAUCAAUGAUAACAUUGAAUUUCAACCCCCUUACCAAAACAAAAGUUUUGUUAUACAUUUCAUCGAAAUUGCCAUUGAGGUCACAAUACGUAUUGAGAUGUGAUACUAAAACACAUAUAAAUUGUAGUUGAAAAAACAGCAAUGUCACUCAUGUCAAGUUGAAGGUAAUAAUUUUCUUUUUUUUACAUUGAAUAAUCAAAAUUUCUUUGCUCUAGAUGUGAUCGUUGAAGAAUGCUCAAUCUUACUUCUGAAAUUUAGAGAGAAAAUAAAAUAAAACUUAUAGGGAAUGGUUUUACUAUUAAUUGAACCGAGGUCUAUCGGAGGAUCAUCCUCGUCAACAGAUGUGGUGCCGUGCAUAGGAGGCGGCAUAAUUACAUUGUGGUUGUGUUAAUGUAGCCAUAAUAGUGGUAAAAUGAUUUGGUCGAGAAGUUCUUGAGUUCAACUCUCAAUGAAAGUACCAGUUGUUGAAACCAAAUAUGUGUGUCGUCGUGUGUGCUGGAGAUGCUUAAGCUCGUUAACUUGUAAAAGAACAAACGACUGAAAGGCAAGCUAGAGACCGAAGGGGUGUGUGUCUGUGUGAUGGCUAAAGGUUAUCCGACGUCAAGUCAGUAAGCAAUAUUAGGACUCAAGUAGUGGGUAAGAGAAUAAGUGUGCAAAGAUAGCGUUACCAAACAUGCCAUUUUUAGGGUGUAUUUAGACAAAUAGAGGAGAGGACCUUUUAGGAUAGUAAAAUCCUUAUUAAACCAGAAGAAUCCCAGAGGAUAUCUAGGAAGUAGAUAUUGAAUCCUCUUAGGAGUGUAUUUACUUGCGGUGCAUGUCAAUCCUUAGAUGGUAAGGAAUCCAAGAUUAUAGAAAACCUGAUGAUUCCAUACUGGAUUGGGUUCUUGAAUCUUAUGGAACAAGCAUGGUUUAUUUCAAUGAAGUCGAUGGACUUCGCCCGCUGAUUCCAAAACAAGAUGAUUGUGGCAUCACUGAACCGUUUAUCAGCUCUACAAUGGAGGGUGUUGAGUCUAUGGCUGGACUACUAAGGUAGACGUCUUCCAAUCCGUCUUACUCUGGCUCUGAAAAAUCAUGAUCCCACAGUAAACAAUCAAAACUACUAGUUCAUUUUUAUAAGAAUAUUACUUGUAUAAAUGUCGAAUCCAUCAAUGAAUAAGUUUCAGAUAAAAAAAAAUGCGAUAACAUAAAUUUGGACGGCAAUUUCAUAAUACAUUCAUUAAGCUUGAUUUACUAGUACAAGUUAUUAUUAAAUAACAAACUGAUAUACCAACUACUGUAUGUCUCUUUCGCAUUGUUUAAAUAAUGAAAAAUAAUAAUAGAUAAGUUAAUACUAGAAAACUUCAAUAAUUCCCUGCCUAACAAAUAUAAUAGUAAGUUUCAUGUAACUCAAACUUCAUUAGCUAAGCAUGGAAGAAAAAAAAAAGUUAAUAAAUAAAUUUCUCUGUGAUGAUAAUCAAGACUUCAUACUCAAUGUAAUCAGGAAUAAAAUCAUUUAAUAUAAGUUGUCAUUUAUUUUUUGAAAUUUCUGAUAUAAGAUUGUAUUAUUCAACGCUCCUCCUCAAUAGCGCCUGUCUUUGUGGGCCACAUGUGCAACCAAUUUCACAUUAGUAGCCUUUUAUUUUGUUUCUUUCUCUCAAGUAGCGGUAGAUUGUCAUAAAAAUUGUCGUUAGCUUGGGCCGGAUUGAGGAGAAUUUGCUGGAUACCAAUUCAAGAUGUAAGGCUAGUGACUCAUUAUUAAUCACAUUGAUAUUUUCCUAACUUAAUCACAUGUACAGCUUUGUAGGUGUUGAGUUUUAUAACAAACGACCUUAGUGAAAAGUAGAGCCAUUUAAUUGUCACGUCCUAAUCCCGACAUAUGUCCAGGACCGACACGUGACAUCAUCAAAUACACAUAAAUCUAACAUACCUUGCUUCCGGGAUAUGUACCAAACUCAACUCAUGCCUCAAAAUUUCCAAUAUCAUUCACUAACCACCAAUGCGACAAUUCCAAUCCCAUAACAUCAUUUCCAACAUCCACAAGUAUAGGCACUUGGACCUAAUACCUAAGCUCUAAUACCACCAAAAGUUGUCACCAACAAUCCCACGGCGCUGUCGCCGCCAUACACCAUGAAACGGCUUGAAUUGCAUCGAAUUUUUGGGUGAUCAACUAGGGAAGAGAGGUGUAAUGGUGUUUGUAGGUGGUGGGAGGUCAUAAAACACCGGAAAUUGGACUGAAAAACCCGUCAGAAUUGGCAGCAGGGGCGCGGGUCGGGUCGGGGUGUACGGUUCAAAGGGAAAAAGGUCCGAGUUUAGUGCUUCUCAAAAGUUGUCACCAAGAAUCCCACGAUGUUGUCGACACCGUACAACAUGAAACGGCCUAAAUUGCAUUGAAUUUUUGGGCGAUCAACUAGGGAGGAGAGAUGUAAUGGUGUUUGUAGGUGGUGGGAGGUCGUAAAACACCGGAAAUUGGACUGAAAACCCAUUGGAAUUGGCAGCAGGGGCGCAGGUCGGGUCGGGGUGCAGGGGCCAAAGGGGAAAAGGUUCGGUUUAGUGCUUCUCACUUCCCUCAUUUCUCUCCGUGAUCUCCCUCCUGAUUGGGUACUCAACCUUUCCUCCUCCUUCUGAUUCAUCCGCCCCCUCAUUUUCUCUCCUUUCCUUUCCAUCUCAGCCACAUAAGUGGCAUCACAGAUAAAUGCUCCAGCCAUCUGGAGCCUUCUAGAUUAGGUUAAAAUUAUAAAAAUAUCAUUGACUUUAAACGUUAAUAACUUCAUUGUUAUAACUCCGUUUCACGAACGGUUUGAACCUACCCAUUCAUGAGAUCGAGCUAUAUUCAAAAAUAUAAAUUGUGACCUUGAAAGGUCUACAAAUUUUAAAUAAUUAUUUUCCAAACUUCAAACUUCGUAACUAGUUAGAUUAAAAUCUAAAUUCCAACAAAUUAAAAUAAAUUUUCGAAAAAUAUUAUAAAAUCUCAAUAAUAAAAAUACGUAUAUUAUUUCACAUUAAUAUAAUUUGUUAUUUAUUCUGUCAAGUGUUCAUUGUGGAAUAAUACGAAUUAAUAAUUUGGUUAAGUUGACUAAAUUAUAAUAAACUUUAUAACUAUAUCUAUUCUAAAUAUUCAAUGGAUAUGCUCGCUGCGAGUUAGAAUUUCUUGAUCAAGCAUGCGUCAUUGGAGCCGAUUCAAACGUUGCUGUAUACUAUCACCUUCAGAAAAAAGAUUGCUAAUACUAUCAGACAUGCAUUUAAAAAUUCAGUUCAAAUAUCAUGUCUCCAUCUUAUGUUUGUUAGCUAUUUCCUUUCUAGCUAGGUCAUCAUCAGUUAAACUUUCAUGAAACUUAUUCUCAUUAAAUUAUCAAUGAUAACAUUGAAUUUCAACCCCCUUACCAAAACAAAAGUUUUGUUAUACAUUUCAUCGAAAUUGCCAUUGAGGUCACAUUACGUAUUGAGAUGUGAUACGAAAACACAUAUAACUUGUAGUUGAAAAAACAGCAAUCUCAUUCAUGUCUAGUCGAAGGUAAUAAUUUUCUGUUUUUACAUUGAAUAAUCAAAAUUGCUUUGCUCUAGAUGUGAUUGUUGGAGAAUGCGCAAUCUCACGUCUGCUACUUAAAAAAAAAAAAAAAAAAAAAUUACAACGUAUGGUCAAUGGUUUUACUAUUAAUUGUAUCGCGGUCUUUUGAGAUCAAAUCUAACACCUUGUUGGAAUGGGUAAAUAAUAAAAUUAGAAAUAUCAAUGUGAUUAGUAGUAGACCGUUGCUCCGACUGUGACAUGUUGAUAGUGAUUCCUUCAUCUGUAUAACACUCAACCCACAUUGACUUGAUUUUGGAAUUAGAUAUCUGUGAUCUAAACUGUUAUUGCAUGGUUUGACCAAGGAGCUAGAUUUAUUGUAAAAAAUAAACUAUCAUAGAAAAUCUGCAACAGUACGAGAAAUUUGUAAUGGAUAUUUUAGGUAGAGCAUCUUCAAUCAUUAUUAUUAUUUUCUAAUUUUAACAAAAAAAUUACUAGAGAAUUAGUUUAGAAAAUACUUUAAUAUUAACUAAAAAAGUAAAAGAAAUUAAAAGGGAGAAAAGGAGAAAAAAUUGGUUGUAAGGUCAUCUCCAACGGAAAUGUUAAAUAUAACUCCAUCCAAAAUUAUAGUCUUGUAAAAAAUUAUUUUUAAAUGAACAAUAUUAGGUCAUAUUCAUAUACCAUCUCCAAUUGAAAGAGCUAAACAUAGUCCCUCAAUAACUUAUUAGUUUUAAGUUUAUACUUUAAAUUUAUUGGCUACAUUUUGAUGUGUCAAAUCUAGCCGUUGAAUUUAAAUUAAAUGUUGCAACUAAGGAGUUGGGCCCCCAAAAAGAGGCUAAGAGCCUGAUGCUUUUUUGGCCAAAUAAUGACAUUGUGGGCUGCAUAUAAUUACAUAAUCAUCAGUUGAAGGUGAAUUUUUGGACAAAUUAAGCUUUUUUUUUACUUUUGAAUCUUUAGUCCUCUCCAUUGAAAAUGACCUAAGAAGCUAAAAAGAAGAAGACGGCAUAUGUAACACAAAAACUAAACUCCUUGGAACAGAUAAACCCCAUAUUACAAAAAAUAUAAAAAGAUCCAAUGAAAUAAAAGAUAAACGUAAUUUUUAACUAUCUUAAUAUGAUAGCACUUGACCUCUCAUAGCAAAUUUUAUGACUAGUACAACACUUGAACGACUUGCAUAGAGAAUAUAGUUGUAUUCAGUCAGUUUCGGAAAGGAUUAGCAGGUACGGGUAGAUUGUCACCCUCUCCUUCUAACAUUUGAAUAACAACUUUCAUGGAAGGGCGAUCUAUUGGGUGCCAUUGGACGCACCAUAGACCCACAAUAGCUAGCUUCUUUGCAGUUUCAGCAUCUCCUCCGUCCUCAAUGUGAAUCCGUAGGUCGUCCCCUUGUUCUAAAAGGUUAUAAAUCCAUUCUGGGAAGUAGACUUCGCUGCUGGUGGAGUCCUCUUCCAUGAACUUAAAGUUUUUUCUUCCCCCGACCAUUUCCAGCAGCAACAUUCCAAAGCUAUAGACAUCUGACUUGUAGGACACGUUUCCAAAGUUCCUAGAAAACACUUCGGGCGCAAUGUAGCCAAUGGUCCCUCUGAUGGUAGUCAUGGAUACUGCGCUUUGAUCUCUAGAGCACAACUUGGCGAGACCAAAAUCGGAAACUUUUGGGGUGAAAUUCUGGUCUAGCAAAAUGUUGUGUGGUUUGAUAUCGAAAUGGAGGAUUCGGAGGUCACACCCUUGAUGAAGAUAUUCAAUUCCUUUGGCUAUACCUAAAGCAAUCUCAUGCAACUUAUCCCAACCAAGGAAAGCGCUUUUACUAUCUGCUGAUGAUAAGAUAUUCUGUAGUGAACCAUGUGGUAGAUAUUCAUACACAAGAGCUGUUGUGUACCCAUCAGCACAAAAACCAACCAAGCGAACCACAUUGACAUGGUGGACUCGACCCAUUGUUCCGACUUCAUUUAUAAAAUCUUCUCCUUUUUCAUUAGAAUUGUUGAGGAUUUUCACAGCUACAAGUAAGUCGGAGGAAAGCUGUCCUUUGUACACUGUUCCAUAGGCUCCUUGACCUAACUUUUCAUUGAAUUGAUUUGUUAUCCUUUUAAUAUCAGCGUAGGAAUAUCUACUUGGCUUGUGUGCUAUGUAAUCGUCCAAAAAUCUUUCAAUCCUCAACUGAUUUGUUUUCUCUAUUUUGUUGGAGCUAUAAACACGGUAAAUGAGAGUCCCCACGACUGUUACAACCACAGAAAAUGUGAAAAUACCUGCGGAUACAGAAGAAACUCUGCGUUAAGAACCAACCCAUUUCUAAAUUAAAUUAAAAUAAAUCACAAUUGCCUCCAACUGAUAAAGCCCCCAGAAAUCAGAACUGAAUUUAUAUUAAUACUUAUACAUAUAUAGGGUACUUUUGUGCGGAAUUUAACGUGUCUUUUAUCGGGAUGCUGGCACUGAGUUUUGAACUCAUAAGGUUUUCUUGUACCUUAAAAGAAGAACCCUUUCAAGGAUGGGAUCCAAAACUUGAAAAACAAAUGAUGAAAAUUGGUGCCCAUUGAAGCAAGUUCCGACUAGGACCCUAAAAUAUAACAUACUGGCAUGAGUUUCAAUAAUCCAAACCGUCUUGGAUUUAGCUCUCCAUCUAAGAUUUAUGAUUAUGGAUCACACAAGUGUGCAAAAAUUAACCUAACUAUUAGCAGUUCAAAACUUCAAAUUCAAUCUUGUAAAAAUAGUGCUUAUGUGAACAACUUACCAGAUAUCUCUAAGCUUGUCCUUCCACGGGUACUAUCUGUAAAAGCAGGUUAAUUAAGUCAAUAAUUAGUACUUUUGUUAUCAAAAGAAUAAAAUACUUGAAGAAUUGUUUGCAUAAAUCUUUGUUUUCAUUUAAUAUAAAAAGUUCGAAUAUAUUCUUUGAGUCCAAAUUUGUUGUAUAUAUUAUCUGCACAAACUAGCUAAUUAAAACCUUGUCAAUGUGAAAAGGAGGGAAAUAUUUGCCGGCAAAGUACUGCAACAAGUCAAGUUAAAUGGGAGAUUAAAGGAUACCUUCGCUCACGCAUUCAGUUUCUGCAGUCUGAUUAUCUGUGAAAUUAUAUUGACCAAUAGUUCUUUUCAGUCUGCAAGUCUUGCCCAUCUCUUCGCAACGUCCACAUGAUGGUUUGGACCACUGCAGCAUCAUAAGGUUGAAUGCUCCCACUGAUGAAAUUUGUGGAAUUGAUUUGUAAUCACGCAGCUUGGUACAAGACACUAGGUUCAUGUCAUCAAUGGAACACUGGCCGUCGACAGCAUAGUAGUUAGUUUGGUUUUCAGGAUUGUCAACGCCGUAAGGGCACAGUUCAAUACGACAAUAUACGUCCGUUUCAAGUAAUGGUGACGGACAACUGAAUAAAGUAUAAUUAGUAUUAAACGGUCCAUGCACAAAUUGAAAGGUCGAGGAAGAUAAGUUGAAUUUGAAAAUAUCUUUCGGCAGGCAAUCAUUUUGGAAAUAUACUCCGAUUUCUUGAGAUGCGUAGUUAAUCGUUUCAACGAUGAGCUUGUUAGAUGAGGAUGGCAUCUCAAGCACGGUUCGGCCGUCGGUGGUGCAUGAUAGAUCAAAGCCAUGGUAACCGCACGAGAAUGGCUGUCCUUUAAGUCGAAAUGGGAAUCGGAUGGCUGGACCGUGGUGUUCACAGUAACUUACUUGCAGUUUUCAGGGACUACUCUGUCGCCAUACACUGUGCUUACAAAUCCAGCAUCUGCUAUCAUGAGAAACCAGCACAAGAAAUUGAUCAGAAGCAUUCUACCCGAUGAGAAUAUUGAUUGUAGAAGUUUGGUAUCUAGGUAAUUCAUAUAUAUGAUUGUAUAUAAGAUAUGGGAUUGCAGAAGUCCCCUAUGUUUUGGGUAAUAAAUAAUAAUCUCUUUUUAUAUUCACCCCUUCGUUCCAUUUCCUACCCCCAAAAACGGUUUUCUAAAUUUUUUGAAUCUUCCACCCAAUUUUGUUUUUAACUUCAAUUUGAAGGACUUGGUCGUGAUUUGCGUAUGGGUUAUUACCAUCGUUAUCAAAUAAAAACUUUUAGUCGCUUUUAUGCAACUGUUACUCGCCGUAACGUGAAACUGGAAUGCUGGAAACUGUUUCUUCCCCAGAUGGGCCAGAUCAACCCAUUAUUAUACAUGUUAUUCCGAGUUAGAUGAGCUGGGUUCUGUGGUCGUGUGGCUUCAAUAUUGGUCAUUCUACAUUGAGUAAUACUAGGUAGAUUAACACUUUAGUAAUAAUCCAAUUAUCAGCUUCCAUGUCAUUCAGUUUACAAAAUUUAUUCUAUAAAUUUAAUCUUCCUAACAUUACCCUUCUAGAAUUUGGAGUUGUCAAUAUAGUUUGGUUGUGCAAAUUUGUUCUCUUUAGUUUAGCCUUGGUUGUUGUUGUUGUUGGAAUUAGUAUUGAUGAGACUUGUGUUUUGCAUAAGUCUUUAAUGUAUUCUUAAAGUUUUUGCGAUAACUAUGGUUGUUGUGUUGAAAAACUAUUUAUUAAAGUUUUUUUUUUCAUUCAAUAAAAGAAAGGUAAGUGAUUUUUACACACGAUUUUUCUUCUCCUACGUACACAUGUAUAUGUACAUUUCUGGCCUUUAAAAAUUAAAAAAAAAGGCAGAAAAAGAAAAGAGUGUUAUGGGAAAAAAAAUUAUAUAUAUAUAUAUAUAUAAUUUUUUUUUUCUUUUUAACAAAGGGAAAGGAUAAUACUUGGAUCUUCCCAGGAAAGUACCUAAUUUACUGACCAUCUUACAUGGCCAAUAAAUUUAAAACACCUAGCAUUUUAACUCUCUUCUAAUAUUUUUCUAUCUCUGUCACCAAACACAUUUUGUACCUGAGAACCCACUCUUCUUCCCAUCUUCUUUCCUUGCCCAGCCCAACCCUUCACCUUCUCCGGCGACCAUCUCCAUGCCUAUCGGGAGUUUACUAAUUGGGCCACAAGUACCCACCGGGGAUAAUACUUAUUGGGCCACUUAAGAGUGAGUAAAUUGAAUAAUACUUGGGUCCUAACCUAUCAGGAUCAAGUGUACGGACCACUGACGUGGUCCAAUAAUAUAAAGAUAUCUGUAAUUUUAAAACGGGAUGUGCUAUUUAUACAUCAUUUUUUACUUUUUACAUACUUUUUAUUAAUUUUUAUCUAUUAAUCUUCUUCAAUUUAUCCGAUUCGACGAUUGAAAAUUAGAAAGAUAUGUGAGAAGUAAAAAAAGGUGUUUGGAUAUCACAACCCUUUUAAAACACCACUAUUCUAGUACCCAAACACCUUAAGUCCUAAACUCAUAACCCAUAACCCACCUCCAGAUUCCCUCCUCAGUCGUCAUCGACCGAUGCCCCACCUUUUCACCGCCUUCCCUCCCCAGCAUCUCUCUCUCAUCAGAGUCUGCCAUUCUUUUGAACUUCAAAGUUCCAAACCUCUUGUCUUCCACAACCUCCAAUUUCGAGGAUUUCCAUAACCCAAUUUUACCGAGCUCAGAUCUGGACGCCGGAGAGGGAUUGAAACUGACGUCGCCGGAGAAAAGAAGGAUUGGGAGUGGUCGGGAGUGAGACGGAGUGCGGGGGUUGCUGGAGAAAGAAGGGUUGAGGAAGAAGACUGGGUGAUUGGUUACAAAAAUAAGCAAGUGUUUGAUUGAGUUUCACUUGACAGGUGGAAUAAUUUUAUUGGACCACGUAAGUGGUCAGCUUGUCAGUAUUAUCCUAGUUUUACUCGUCUCGUGGGUUUGUCUUUGCUUCGUUUGUGAUAAAUAAUGGGCUCCAAGCGGCCAAUUUAUAUCUGAAUUCGCCCCUUUCUUGCCUUAAGCCAAAAACCCUUGCUCCCCAUUAAGCUUUUUUGCCCUCUUCCAUAAUUUUGAUACAUUUAUAUUCUCUUUUGCCAUGUGUAGAGGAAGUCUCUUACUAGUUGCAUAUGGAGCCCUUCUUCUACUCUUUCUUCUUCCCUUUAUUUGUUCCCAAACAUCGAUACCUGAAAAUAAUUCUGUUUGUACUCUUUCUUGUGGCAAUAUUAACAUAAGCUCUCCAUUUCGGUUAAAAGGAGACCCUCAACACUGCGGCAACCCUACGUAUGAGCUAACUUGUGAGGAAAAUGUUACAGUCCUCUACUUUUAUAACCGAAAGUUUUACGCCAAGGCGAUCAAUUACAAUAACUUUACAAUCCGAGUUGUGGAUGCUGCUGUUCAAAAGAAAGAUAACUACUACUCCAUCCCACGUUACUCUUUAACCUCAUCCAGCUUUGGUUAUUGGGAUCCUUACAGCACUUCUAGUCCGACUGACGUGGGGUUCAAAUAGUCCAGAGAUAAGUUACACGGCACGGCCUAUAAUUUUUAUGAACUGUCCAAAUCCAAUGCAUUCUCCUGGCCUUGUAGAAACAGCUCCAUGCGUCAAGGACGGCACCUGCUCUUCCAAUUCUUCUCUGUCCAAUGGUUUAAGAAUGUUUUCUUAUUCCAUCUCUGGCUGGAAUGGCUCUGUAACUUUUUUGGAUUUGGGGGUGUCCUGUGAAAUAACGCAGAUGCUUAUGGUCUCACUUUCGUUAUCCGUACAAGACAUGCAUCAACACUUGACGUCCUGUGAAGGCAUAUAUAGUGAAAUAGCGCAUGGCUUCGAGCUUUCAUGGUUUCACCAGGCUUGUAGCACCUCAAACUGCACAGAUGUGGAGGAAUGUGUGCUCAACAACGUGAGCAAAAUUGAGUGCUUUCGCUAUGAACCCAUAUAUGAACCCAGAAAAGGUAGUGUCUAUUAUUCCUCUUAUUCACAAGGCUAGAGUAACCAAAUUAAUUCAGCAAAUAAUUAGUCUUCAAUUACUGGGAGUCUGUCUGUCUAUGGAGAUUUAGGUUUUACAACUCCAGAAUAAAUUAUGUCAUAUAAAUAUUGACCAGAUGAAUGGGAGAGAAGCCUUUAUUUCUAUUAAGUACGUAUUCGAGGCUAAAUUUAUUGAGGAAGGAUCGCUACCUUUCUUUUUGUACUCUCUCUUUUUACCUUUUUACUUUAUUUUUAAGAUCUUACAUAUUACUUGAUAAUCAAAACUGUUUAUUUUGCAUACCACUAUAAACUAAUACUGCAAAAUACCCCAUUAAUCAGAAUUUAGAAAUCAUUUCACUGUUCGAUUAACGAUGUCAUGAUUUUUUGUUUAACUAAAGCACAUGGUUCACCUUUUAUUGAAUUCAUAUAUUGUUAUUUUUUCUAGUAAUAUUUAGAAAAUAGGCAGUUUGGAAUAUCAAGUAAUAUUGUAAGAUCUUACAAAAAAGUAGAAGGUAAUAAGUGAAAGUACAAAACAGAAAGGUAGCUAGCAUUCUCCUAUGAUAUUAAUUUUCACCUUUUUUUUUCUCUUAAUGGUAAAUAAUAUAUGAUCCUUUAGAGGAAAAAUAAUAUAUAUGAUCCUUAAUGAUAAUUCUUCUUCUUUUGCAAUGCAGAACAUUGGUACAUCAAGAUACUAUGGGCACUAGGCAAGUGGUUUACUCUCUAACGCAGCUUCUAUAUAAUACAUGUGUAGUUAGUUUCUUUAUUUGUGGUCACCUUGAUAUUUAUUAAACUUAAAUUACAUUUGGAAACUAUGAUCGAUAUUCAUCACUUUGCUGCAGAAUUGGUUUUGUACCAGAUGUAUUUGUUCAUCCGCUAUGGACGGUUUAUCCCUAGCGACGUGAUGAGUCAUAAGGCCCUUUACGUGUGUCCGAUAACUGUGGCCUCUCUCCUAGGUAGUGUGAACUACUCGUACUCAGCUAUCAUGCAACUUUUUCUAGCUUCAGAUACUCAUCAUUAAAAAAUGAAUGUUUGAUGAUCACUUUGUCUUUGUUUUCAUUCUUAUUAUUAUGUUUUAGUUAAAGGUUGCAGGGGAAUAUGGAAGAAUAUAUAUGAGAAAGAUGUGAAAAGGACAGGGAGGAUCGAGGUGGAUAGAGAAAUUGUUAGUCUUUGAAACAAUCUCAAAGAGUUUUCCAAUAAUUUUUUGUUUCAUAAAUUCUCCAUUUCUCCAUCAUCCCCCACCCCCAUCCCCAUAUCUUCUUUCUACAAUUUCCCCUCGCCUUUUUUCCUCUCUCUUUUUAGAUUAAAAAUUAAAACUAAAGGAUUUCCAAACAGUUGCUUAAUUAAUGAAAAAUAUUGUUGCACUAAAGGAACAAGUUUGAUGAUAUUACAGCAAUCAAUCUAUUUGGUGACUCCAAUGUUUUUGAAACGUGCAGGACUGUUCCAAGUAGUCAAAUUUUUAUUUGGCUUUCCCUGUUUAAUUGCAUUAAUAAUAUACAAAUGCAAAAGGAGGCACUUGUCCAUGUAUGAAAAUAUAGAAGACUUUCUGCAGAAUAAUCAGCUCAUGCCAGUAAGGUACUCUUACUCGGACAUAAGAAAGAUGGCCAGAGGUUUUAAGGACAAGUUAGGGGAAGGUGGCUUUGGUUCUGUGUACAAGGCAAAGCUUCGCAGUGGCCGUCUUGUUGCCAUCAAGAUGUUGGGCAAGUCGAAAGCCAACGGGCAGGAUUUUAUCAAUGAAGUUGCUACCAUCGGAAGGAUUCACCAUGUUAACGUGGUCCAACUUAUUGGUUUUUGUGUGGAGGGUUCAAAACGUGCUCUUUUAUAUGACUUCAUGCCUAAUGGGUCUCUUGAUAAGCACAUAUUUUCUCAACAAGGAGUUAUCUCCUUAAGUUGCGAGAAAAUGUCUGAAAUCUCACUUGGAGUGGCUCGUGGUAUUGAAUAUUUGCAUCGAGGAUGUGACAUGCAAAUUUUGCACUUCGACAUCAAGCCUCACAACAUUCUUCUCGACGAGAACUUUCUUCCGAAGGUUUCAGAUUUUGGGUUAGCAAGGCUAUGCCCAUUAGAUAAUAGCAUUGUGUCUUUGACUGCAGCGAGAGGAACCCCCGGAUACAUAGCUCCAGAGUUAUUCUACAAAAACAUUGGAGGUGUUUCAUACAAAGCUGAUAUCUAUAGUUUUGGGAUGCUACUGAUGGAAAUGGCUGGAAAAAGAAAGAACUUAAACGUAAAUAUAGAACACUUGAGCCAAAUAUACUUUCCGACAUGGGUUUUCGACCAGCUGAGUGGAGGAAAUGACCUUACAAUCGGAGAUGCUACAGAGGAGGAAAAGAAAAUCAUUAAGAAGAUGAUUAUUGUGGCGUUGUGGUGCAUACAAAUGAAGCCUAGCGACCGUCCUUCUAUGAAUAAAGUAGUAGAGAUGCUUGAAGGAGAAAUUGAGAGCCUUCAAAUGCCUCCAAAGCCUUUCUUAUACCGACAACAAAUGCCAGAGGUGGUUACUGGCGACAGUUCAAGUACCGCAUAAGCUGCAUCGACAACGACAACAUCCACGGAAAUUGUUUUGAUUGCAGAUGAAAAUUCAGAGAAUUAAUAUAGCUAGUAGCAAUGUUGAUGUGCAAAGGAACGUGUAGUGUACCCAAUAAGCACAAAUAGACUACUUGUAUUCAAUGGCAUUGAUUGCUUUCUAGUUUUCAGUUUUUAGCUUUGGUACGUACAAGGAUUAGUUUAUGCACAAAUUGUCUCUCGAUUAGUAUGGAAAAGCUUUAGAUAUAUAAUUUGUGUAUGAGCAAAGUUCGAUAUCUAUAUAUUAUGUUGAAGAAUGCAAUCCUACAUAAGAAACUAAACAAAUUGCACAGCUUAUAUCGAAUGGUUCCAAUUCCAGUUGCAUAUGAGAAGCUUUAAGAGGAGAAGGUACCUGAUCAAGGCGUGGCUAUCUUUGAUUAUUUUCUCAGGAUGUGCAUUUGAAUUCAAAUUAACUUAGAAAGGUAGAACUAAUAUUUAUUCUUCAUACAAAGACUAAAGCAUAUUGCCUUCCAUAUGCGACCCAAUUAAUAUUUAUUGCAAUCAGUAGGCUUAAAAGAGAGUCUCUUUCGUUUGUGCCAUGUUGCCAAAGACAGCGAUUUCUCAACGAAUGGGUCUGAAAGCUAAGCAAACUACAUCCAUUGACACUCUUAAGAAAGUGUUGAAAGCUUGUAACUUCACAUCUGCACCAGUGAAAUCCGCAGUGAUUACCGGAGCUUUGAUAGUCGAUUAGGUCUUGUAGCUGAGGCUUAGGAAGCGUUCAGGGUCAGUCAGACGUCUUAAUCUUAUGGACUCACCGUCAAUUCCAGCUUAUUGUAUAAGUCCUCUGGCAACAAUGUCAGCGUAGUCCAUGAAUCAACGAUAAUAUUGCCCUUUGCUGGAGCCAAUGAAGGGUUCAGUGAACUGUUAUAUUGCAAUCUCUUACGCCCAACGCUCAUUGCUUCAAGCCUUAGAUACUAUAAAGAUUUUGAGCCUCCAGAAAGUAAUGGGGUAGAAACCGCUGUGGUGCCGGAAACCACAGCUUCAAUGCCGAAGCUCAUUGUGCUUGAUGAGUUGAAUCCUGAAAAAGCAUGCACAAGGCAGGAGGAAAAUUUCGCAUCGAUUGAAGAACUCAUCUGAGAGAUGAGGGACACCGGUCCACGUCCAAGCCCAAUCAUGCCUGAUCCAUUUCUGUUAAAGAGGCCUCCAUUGUCUUGUCCACAACCAAACAUCAUUUGUGGGAAUGAAACUGGUUGCCCAGCAGUGGAGUUAAAUGUGACACUUUCUGUGGCUACAACUCACUUGCUGUAGGAUCUGUCCCCGUAAGAAACUGUGUAAUUACAAACUCCAUCUGUGUCGGGAGGAGAAGAGGUUCCGGUCACGAAUUUGCAUUGGCUUGAGUUACGAAGAACUUCUGCAUACGUUUUCAAAUUCUUUGGAUCAAAGAUUGGCGCAUUCUGCUUGUAACAAUGCAGGGCAUACAUUGCGUCCAUGUAAGAUCACUACCUGUAUCUGCAACGCCUAAGAUUUCAAGAGGAGGUGUACCUACUGAUAUUUUCAGGUUUCAACCCCUUAGAAGAAGACAUAAAGAGUUUUUUAACUGAAAAGCUUCUUCGAGAAGCCCUUCACGACAAUAUGCAUUGAUUAGUGUAUUAUAUGUCACAAUAUCUGAAAGCACCCCCUUCUCUUCCAUAUCUGAUAAGAAGAAUUUAACGCUAUCAAUUUAGCGAGCUUUGCAUAAGGCAUUGACCAUUAUAUUUAGCGCUGGUUUGGUAUUGCUGUGCUUUGAAAAAAAAGUUGUUGUGAGAAUAAGCGGCUGUGCUAUGAGAAUAAGUAGCUGUGAAAUAAAUCAGCAGAGUGUUUGGUAAACUUUUUUGUAAAAGUGCUUUUGGAAAAGAAAAAAAACCAAUCUGACCGUGGGUCUUUUCAUUAAAGGAGCACUGUAGCUCUGUGUGCUUUGAAAAAAAACCAGUUUUCCAAAGCUACAAAUAGCAGCUUUAGCUUUUUCCUUUGAUUUCAGCUUAUUCUCACAGCAGCUUCUAAAAUAAGCCAUUUUUUUUCAGUUUACCAAACACCUAAAACCCUCACAGCUUUUUUUCAUGGGUGCUUUUUUUUUAAGCACCUCACUCCCAAACCACCCCUUAGUGUAUAAAUAUUUAACUGAAUCCCACUGCUAACAACUUCCCCAUAUACGACCCAUGCCAAAUCAAUCCACCCGACCUUCACAAGCCCACCAAGAAGACUAUUGCAAGCAUUUAUCGAAACACAAACUCCCUAGCUUCUAAACACCUGAAACGCCUCAAAUCCUUCUCUCAAUUUCUUAGCCUGCACAUAAGUUCUAACAAACAGAUCAAAGACCAAAGAACUUGAGCUGCAACUGCUAUAAGUUGAAACCAAAGAGUCUGCUACUUCAACACGCAAAAUGCCACUCUUUCUAACCAUUCUAAGAAUCAGAGCUUGUGCAUCCGACACUGUUCAACUACGCACCAACAUGUGAAUCAUUGCACUCAAAGACAGUGAUGAAUGCUUAAAAUCAGGACUAUUUAACAGAAUCAAAUCAAUAAACUUCAGACCCAGUUGCAAAUUUUCACGGCAGCAAGAAAGAACAACAACAAUAAGAGACGGGUUUAACCGAAACAGAAAGCUGCGCAAAGAGGUGAGGUUACCUUGCUUCAGACCUAAUAAAAUCUUUUCCACCAAAAGAGAAUCUGAUAAAGAAGCUGAUGAAAACAGUUCUUGGCUUGUACUACUACAGGGUUCUUGUGAUUGCAUACUUUUAAGACCAAGUUCCAGGUCAUUUGAUGGACAAUAUGCUAAACAAUGAGGUCUAUGAGAGUGAAAGAGUGAGUGUUUGUUGGUUUUGAUCAGGUUGUGCGGGUUCUCGGACCUACAUUUCUCAAAAUUAGUCAAUGGGUUCGCAUGUUUGAAACUAGUUACAGCCAUUGAGGAAUGAAUUCAGAAUUCAAAAAGAUGUGGGAUGCUUCGGGGCUGAAAGGGCCUGUCUACUGAUUUAAAGUUCAUUCCAGUUUGGCUUGGUUAGGUCCCAAACCAAGAACCAGUACCAAACAGUUGGUAGGCCAUAGAGUUGAACCGGAAACUGAGAACCGAAAACUUGGACCUGCAAUAGACUGACCGUAUACUGAAAUUUUAAGUGUGGUCUGGUCUCAUUGAAUUAUAUCCUCAUUUGUAGCAGGUUGAUCCUGAAAAAAGUAAAUAGCAUUCAUCAACAUUAAAAAACAGAGGAAAAUGAGAACAGCAGUUCAACAGACAUUGGAUUGCAACGAGAAUCUCCCCAAAUGGGCAGAACGAUUCGAACAGACGAUUAAUUCAUUACAAAAAUGAUCAUCCAGAUUAAAAAAACGUUAUAGGUACGAUUAUUUAAUCCAAAUUUCCAUGCUUGUUCCUAAAUUCUAAGAUAUUUUAUCAAAAAUUACACUAACGGCACAUAGUUAGUUGCAAGAUAUUUCAGCCAAAUCUUGUUCCUGAGAUUUUAAGAAUCACGGAAAGUAGAAGAAAAAAAAUUAUGAAAUCUGAAGUUUACCUCAGUGAUCGGGCGGACCAACACCAACGGCGGCGACAGGAAGUGAGAGCAGCGAACGAUGGGCUAUCAGGGAGUGGAUGACGACUCCAAGAGUUCGAGCUUCAAUAGAAACCUUCAAUGGAAGAAGAGCAGGAUGAGUUCAGAUGAGAGGUUGAGAGGAACAGGAGGAUUCUGGUGGUUGUAACGUUGAGAGAGAGAGAGAGAGGCAGUAGGCGGGAGAGGAUUCAGAGAGAGAAAGCGGUCCACGUAGAAGGUUUAGUAGGCAGUUCAUCUCCAAACAUGUGUUAUGGCAAAACCCCGUCCAGAAUGAUCUCUCCGUCCCAAUCUCUCUCUCCUCUCUACUACUGACCAGUUACGUUAAAUUAUGUCAAUAUCUUAUAUUGAUUUUUUAAAAGAGAUAAUAAAACAAAAAUAACAUCUGAAAUGAGAAGAGGGAAGAGAAUGAGAAUAGGAGGGCAAGAAAUCUUACUCUUAGAAUUAUAGCCAUGCUUAACCAUCUCCCACCAAACCGAACCAUUAAUAACUAUUAAUUUAAAGUUUAUACUUUAAAUUUAUUAGUUAGUAUAAUUAAAUUAGGGGUGUGAUAUUCACACACCCAUUUUUACUUCUUCCACACUUUUUUGGUUUUCGGCCGUCAGAUUGAAUGAAUUGAAGAAGAUCAACAGACAUAAAUUAACAAAGGGUGUGUGAGAAGUAAAAUGAGACGUGUGGAUAGCACACCCCUUAAAUUAUCGUUGGAUGAUUUCAAAUCUAAUGGUUGAAAUUGAAUCCAUUAUUACAACCGAAGAGUUGGCCCUACAAAAAGGACUAGGAGGGGGCUACAUAUGGCAAGCUUGAUGCUUCUUUGACCAAAAAAUAGCUUAGUAGGUUCCAUAGAGUUAUAGCUCAAUCAUAUGUUGGAGAUGUGUUUUUAGGCAAUUCAAGUCUUUCUUGGUUUUUUAAACCUUUUAGCAUUCUCCAUUGGAAAUAGCCUUAAAAACGAACACAGGGUAACUUAAACCUACAGAUAAAGGUUAACCGGUAACAUAUGGGCAGAUGUGCAAUCCUAAGCUAUCAGCUUAAACUUUCGGUAUUAAGCUAUCAACUUAAAUAAUUAUUUUUUUUACAAGGAAACAAAUACGAAUUUAUAUGACCAAAAAGAAUAAGAAGAGAGAAGAUAGUUUCACGUCAUUCAAAUCUCUUUUAUCUACAAAACUUAAUCGCCUCAUCGAAUAUCUAACCCAGCAAAUCCAAUUGUAUAAACUUUAAUAACUUUACUCAUCCAAUUUCAUCCAAUCUUUUUGAAAUUGAUACCAGGUGGAUUCAACUGUACUUCAAAAUCUAUAUGUGUAUUUCUCUAACUAGUCAGCAACACCAGUUAACUAAGAUCAAAUGAUUAGAUUAACAAUAGUGGAAGCAAUCAAUUUAAACCCUUGAAAAACUGAAGAAAUCUCAGCUAACUUAGAUCUACUUUAGUACAAAUUCAAAUGUUGAUUAUCUUAGUUGCAAGGAUAGGUUAUGAUGAUCACAUAUCAUAUAGAAUUAUUGAAGUAUAAAGCCAAUAAACACAAUAAUCAACACAAGACGUUUUUGACCAGAAAAAACCCACCUCUAGGUUAAAAAACCGGGGGCUUAACAUUGAGUCCAAUCCACUAGUGUAAACAAAGGUUCAUACAAAGACCACACAAGCUCAAUUCUAGAUCCCUAUCUAUGGAGCAGCUUUACCUUUGUGCAACAUUAGCUUACACGAGAUGAAUUCAUAUGAUCUUCACGAAGUGGCAUCUCCUCCUGAGCUCAUCACCUUGUGGCACCGAUAACCAACACGAUCAAUGCAAAUGAUAUGAUGAUGAUGGAUUUAAACACCAGUCAAAUUCUCCAAUCAACAUUUAAAGGAAUAUCCGACUAUAAUCUCAACUUGAUCUAAUUGAGAAAUCAAUACACAAACUAGAUCAAGAACACAACACAAAUUGAAAAGACUAAUGCAACCUAGAUGCACAAUGAUCUUGAGAUAAAAUGCAUAAGAACAAUUUUGUAGUUAGGCAACUAGAUGAGAAGGCACAAAGCUCAAACUCAAUUUUUUAAGAUAGUGAAAUGUUUUAGCCAAAGAGACAAGGAAGGCAACUAAGGGUUUAACAUGGGAGAUACCAAAUUUUUUGUCCAAACAAGGACAAAAGACACUUGUCAAUGCAUAGCUCAAUCUAAGCAAAUCUAAGGCUGAGAUUUCAACCUAGAGCAAAGAUUUCAGAAAGCCCAUGUGAGCUGACUUAAAAAGCGUGUCCAGACAACUGGACAUCAGUGACUUUUUGACUGGACAACAAAACUAGAUAGAAGGAACUCAGGUUAAUGCAUGGAAUGUAUAUGAAUGAUCAAACCUUUAGUGAAGAUAAAUUGUCUUCGAUCAAAGCCUUCAGAUAUAAUAUCCAACAAGAUGAACCCAUACUAGAGUUGUAAAAAACAGAGACAAUCUAAGAGUAUGUGAGGUAGUAUUUACAACUUUUGACAAGGAAAACCAAAUAGCUUAAAACUAGACUUCACACUUUUCUCAAUGAUAUUCAAACACCGUUAGUUACAGAGCACCAAAAUAUUUGAGAUUAUGUGGUUUUGAAAAUUGGGAUAUUUAAAACAUGUCUCUCUCUAUUUUUCAUAUACGAAAAGGAAAAAACAAAAAAAUAUAAAGGAGAAAAGGGGAGUGAAUGAUUAAGAGAGAUGAAGAGACGAAUGGGACGGCAAGGGAAGAAGACGAAAGAUUUCACGUGGGAAUUUUUUUAAUUUAAUCUCUUUGCAGAAUUAUUGUGUUUUGAUGUAACAAAGAUUGUUUAAGUUGAUAGCUUAAUCUACCAUAAUAUUAUCUGAGAGCUCAAAUACAAAAGAACAUCAUCGGUCCUUAAAAUGAGGACCUAGCAAUUUUGAACAUAUGGGUAUUUUGUUAUCUUGUGAUGUGAAAUCUCAAACCACUUAGGACACGUUUUACAUAUCUGGAAUCAGAAUAUAAAUGAAUGGAAAGAUGAAUUUUCAUUUUUUUUAUACAACGUUAUAUUUACAUACUAGGAUGAGGGUAUGAACAUGGAAACUCCUGAAAUUCAAUGACAGAAGAAUUACACAAGUGAACAGGGUUGCAAUCUAUGGGAUACAUUCUUUACAAGAAUUAAUCAUCUAAUGUGAUAUGCAAAAGUGUCAAAAAAGACCAAAAUAUGUUGCUUGAUCCAUGGCCGUAGAACCUUAAUAUUGAUUGAACGGAUGUCACAAUUUUUGUAGUGGUAUGUAGUGUUUGAUUUUAUUGGUAAGGAAUUGGCUCGUAUGAGUUAUGGUAGAUAAUUCUCACAAGUACGAUGAAGAAUUUAGGAAAAUCUUUCUAAAUUUGUGGUGUGGCUGGAGGAAUUUGAAGAAACUGAAUUUUGGAGAUUGCAAUGUAUUUGGUAUAACAACUCUUGUUUUCAUUGGGGAAUAUUUCUCUAACUCAAUAAUUGAAAUUUCUUAUUGAGUUUUCUUUUUCUCUUUGUGUUGAUAUUCUAGACCUGGAAAUUUCUUACACGACAUGUUAACUCGACCGAAAAUAAUACGAAAAUAACGAGUUUCAAGUUAACACAUUAACUAAUUGAGUCGUUAUUGGGUCAAACAUUAAGAACCCAUUGGUUUACCUGCGGAUUGUAGAAACUCAUGAUUCUUUGAGAGAACAAUUAGAGAUAGAGAGAGAAAGAAUUUUAGAGAGAGAGAGGAUUGAAUAGAAUGAUUUUCAUUAUACUCAGAAUAUGUACAAUACAAUAUAUAUAGAUACAACCACCUACUCUACCAACUAUAUCUUAACAGAUAAGAAAUCUUUUUAAUCAGAUAUAGGCUUAGUUGGUGGUCCUAUUGUAUCCUUAACACACCCCCUCAAGCUAAAGUUAGGGGGUCUAACUGAAAGCUUGGAAGUAAGCUCGGCAAAACGAGGAGCAGGCAAGGAUUUGGUGAAAAUAUCUGCCAGUUGAAGAAGAGAUGUAACAUGAUUAACACUAACUGUGCCACUGAGAACCUUUUCCCGAAUAUAAUGGUAGUCGAUUUCAACAUGUUUUGUCCGAGCAUGAAAGACCGGAUUGAAGGCCAAGGCAAUUGCACUCUUGUUAUCAUAGAAAAUCGCAGGCGUUUGGAGAAUAGGAAAGGAGAUAUCAUGCAGAAUCUUACUGACCCAACUGAGUUCAGCAGCUGUAUGGGCCAGAGACCUGUACUCAGCUUCAGUAGACGAGCGGGCAACAGUGCAUUGCUUCUUGGCACUCCAAGAGAUGAGAUUAGGGCCAAGAAAAACACAAUAGCCACUUGUGGAUCGUCUAUCAAUAGGACAGCUUGCCCAGUCCGCAUCAGACCACGCAGUAAGGCUUUGACAACCUUUAGUAAAACACAAACUAGAAUCAAGAGUACCCUUCAAAUAACGAAGGAUUCGUUUGACUGCUUGCAAAUGAAUGGUCCGAGGAGAAUGCAUAUACUGACAGACUUGGUUAACAGCGAAAGCCAAAUCGGGUCGUGUCCAUGUGAGAUACUGCAAGGCCCCAACAAUUGAUCUAUAAAAUGUAGGAUUAGAAAGUAAAGUACCAGAGUGAUCCAGUUUGGCAGAUGCAACAGGAGUGGAGCAAGGUUUAACACCAACCAUAUCAGUCUUCUUUAACAAGUCAAGAGCAUAUUUAGACUGGUGAAGAAAAAAUCCUGUAGCAGAUCGGUGCACCUCAAUUCCCAAAAAGUAGUGAAGAUCACCCAAAUCCUUGACAGGAAACAUAGUUUAUAACUGAGAAAUGAUGGAAGUGCAGACAGAGGUAGAGCUCCCGGUGAUGAUAAUGUCGUCAACAUAGACUAAGAUGAAGGUGAUGGUAGAAUCCUUUUUGAUAAACAAGCUGGUAUCAGAGGAAGAAGCCAAGAAUCCCAAGGACAAAAUAGCUUUGUAAAAGGCUUCAUACCAGGCCCGAGGGGCUUGUUUUAAACCAUAGAGAGAACGCUUGAGUUUACACACAUGUUGAGGGUGGUUGGAGUCAACAAAACCAGGGGGCUGGAUCAUGUAGACAUCCUCUUUUAAAGUACCAUGCAAGAAUGCAUUACUGACAUCAAGCUGAUGAAUGAACCAGUCAUAGGAAACUGCAAUGGACAAUAAAAUUCGAAUGGUAGUUGGUUUAGCAACUGGACUGAAGGUCUCAGUAAAAUCAAGGCCUUCUUGUUGAUGGAACCCUUUAGCCAUCAGCCGAGCCUUAUACCGUUCUAUCGAACCAUCUAGUCUAUGCUUGACUUUAAAAACCCAUUUGCAACCGACUAAAUUCAAGUCAGGCUGAAAAGGAACUAGAUCCCAAGUCUCAGUAUUCUGCAAGGCUUGAAACUCAGCCUCCAUGGCAGCCAGCCAGUGCGGAUGCUUGGAAGCUUGUAAAAAUAUGGUAGGGGUUGGAGGAAGACAAGUAAUGGAAUCAACAGAAGCAGGAAUAGAGUGUUUAGUUGCAGUGAAAACCUUCGGCUUGUGAAUUCCAGCUUUAGCCCUUGUAAUCAUAGGAUGAAGAUUAGGAGGAGUAGGUGUGGGAGUAGGGGAGGAACCCGCUGGUAUAGGGCAGGGAAUAAGAGAGGAAGAAGCAGCAGAGGGUGAAGAGGCUGAAGGUUGUAAAACACUAUCGGGAUGAGCCAACUGAACUGCACUUGGGGAAGAAGAAACAGGAAUAUUCAGAGGUAUAGGGGCAGGAACUGUACUUGUAGGAGAAGCAUCAGAAGAUAGAGGAGAACCUGAGAACAUCCCAGUCUUGAACGGAAAUAAGUGUUCAUCAAAUGUAACAUGCCGAGAGACAUACAGCUUAUUAGCCACAGGAUCAAAGCAUCUGUAACCACUAUGAUGAAGACUAUACCCCAAAAAUACACACAGUUUACUCUUGGUAUCCAGUUUAUGCGAUGAGUAGGGCUGCAACCAAGGAUAGCAAGCACAACCAAAAGCCUUCAAAUUAUGAUACUUAGGAGGCGCUUGGAAUAGUUUCUCCCAAGGACUAACGGAAGAAGAUUGAGGUGGCAGGCGGUUGAUGAGGUACACAGCAGUUUGAAAAGCUUCUACCCAGAAUUUUGGUUCCAAACCACUCUGAAAAAGAAGAGUCCUGCCCAUUUCGACAACAUGGCGAUGUUUCCUUUCGGCACACCCAUUUUGUUCAGGAGUAUGAGGGCAACUUAAUUGAUGUGUGAUCCCUUGUGCAUUAAGAAACCCCUGAAAUUCCUUGCUUAAAAAUUCACCACCAGAAUCAGACCGUAAACAUUGUAUUUUACAAUCGAAAAAGGUUUGAACUUUGUGUACAAAAGUCUUGAAGACAGAGCAAACAUCAGACUUAUAUAACAAUGGAUAUAACCAGCUGUAUUUCGUGUAAUCAUCUACUACAAUGAGAUAGUAUUUAUAACCAGUACAGGAGGAAGUGGGAGAAGGACCCCAAACAUCAGUAUGAAGUAAAUGAAAUGGCCUAUUUGUAGUACACGGCAAAAUGGAAAAGGGAAGUUUAGAGGCCUUCCCCAACUUACAAGCAGUACAAACAGAAUCUGUGUUAACAGAACCAAUCACAGGCAGCUGGUGUUUAUUCACAACAUUAUGAAAAACUAGACUCGAUGGAUGACCUAGGCGUUGAUGCCAGACAUAAGCAUCCACUUUAGUAAUCAUCAAUGCAUGAGGAGAGAGAGCAAUGCCUGAGAUUCCAUUGGAUGCAUCCCAGUAGAAAGGAUAUAAGCCACCUUCACAGGGGCCCUGGAAGAGCAUCUUCCCAGUACUUAGGUCCUUGAUAUAGAACUCAAACGGAUCAAAAGUCAGAGAAGCCCAAUUAUCACAAACAAACUUGUAAACAGAUAACAAGUUAUGUGAAGCUUUGGGAACUAACAACACAUCAUUAAGUCGAAAUGUAGCAUUCAUAGUGCGAAUUAAAGCAGAUCCAGUGUGAGAGAUACACAGACCUUUACCAUUACCAACAAAGAGUUGAUCAUGGCCAGUGUAGGGAAUGGCAGAAUUGAGAGAAGCAGGAUCUGGAGUCACAUGAUGAAAAGCACCACUAUCAGUUUGCCAAUAGCUUGGUGGAGGAGAAGUAGCAGCGGUCAUACCAAGAGGAGGUCCAGGAUGAGAUCGUUGAGAGGCAAACUGAGAGAGCUUCUCACAAUUGAGAGCUUCAUGACUAGAUUUAAGGCAUAACUGACACUGAAAAAACCGGCCAGAGUAAGAGGUAUUAUUGUGCUGACCAAAUCCUGUAGAUCUUGAAUUUGGACCCGAGCCAAGAAGACCACUAGAGGUGUUAUGAGUAGGACGAUUGCCUCCAAACGUGCGAUUGUUAUGAUAGCAAUUACGAUUCUGAAAGCGACCUCAAGAAUUACCUCGGUAAGAGUUGACACCAGAAGAACCUUGUUGAGCCGUAUAGGCGUGAAAUGGUGCAGAUGAUGAAGAAGAGGCUUUGGUCUUUCGUUUCUGAAGAGAAAUUUCCUUACUAAGAAGUAAGCCAUGAAGUUCAUCAGUGUUGAUAACCUCAGUUCUUGUUUCAAUAGAGUCAACGAAGGAAUCAUACUCAUCAGAAAGACCAGAAAGGAUGUAGGCAACAAGAUCGGAUUCAGAAAUCGGAUCGCCAGCCGCUGCAAGUUUAUCAGAGAUCUCCUUGAGAGAGUUGAGGUAAUCCGUCAUCGAGGAGUCACCUUUCUAAAUUGUUUGGAUCUUCGAGUGUAAGCUGUGAAUAUAAGUGCGAGAAGCACCAGAAAAACGACGUUCAAGAGACUGCCAGAUAGACUUGGAAUCAUCCAUGCCAACCGUCAAAGGAAGGAGAUCUUUAGAUAAAGUCGAAUUGAUCCAAAUCAUCAAGAGUUGAUCGCGUUCACACCAAGUCUCAUACACCGGAUUAGGAAUUUAAGCGCCGGAAGAAUCAAGCACAAACGGAGAAGGACACACAUCAGUGCCAUUGACAAGCCCUAAAAGCUUGAAUCGCUUCAGAACAGGGAGGAAGAGACUACGCCAGGUGAUGUAAUUGUGACGAGUGAGUUUCGUCGCCACCAUACCAGUAAUGUUCUGAACGGUAAUCGAAGAGAGAGAUUGAGCUGACAGAUUUGGACCGUCGACAUGAGAACCAGAUGAAGCAGCCGGAGAAGAAGAGGUCGCAGCCAUCCAGAAGAGUAGAGAAGAAAAAUUCAAGAAUUUCAAGAAAUUGAAGAAAUUAGGGCAGAGAAGAUAUGUUUGGGAGAAGAGAAAGAGGUGAGAAAAUUCAAGAAGAUGGAAGCGGUGGAUCGAAGUCGGUAGACAACGGCUCUGAUACCAUGUAGAAACUCAUGAUUCUUUGAGAGAACAAUUAGAGAUAGAGAGAGAAAGAAUUUUAGAGAGAGAGAGGAUUGAAUAGAAUGAUUUUCAUUAUACUCAGAAUAUGUACAAUACAAUAUAUAUAGAUACAACCACCUACUCUACCAACUAUAUCUUAACAGAUAAGAAAUCUUUUUAAUCAGAUAUAGGCUUAGUUGGUGGUCCUAUUGUAUCCUUAACACGGAUAACCAGUCGGUUUGUUCGCGGGUCACCCAUUUCAACACGUUAAGAGAAAAGUUAGUUUGAUUAAUUUAAACUACUAAAAAAACAUUACUACAAUAGCCAUAGUAUUUAAUCUCCCAUAAAGGAGUAUAAAAAUUUUCAAAACACAUUAAAAAAUUCAUAAUGAUUAAUUUACAAUUGUAAAAAAUGUGAAAAAUAUGCAAACGCGUGAUGACAUCAUCUACAUUUUGACGAUGGGUACUUCGUCACUUGAAAUUUUAAAACACUACAAACCCUCAUGAAUAGUUUUUUUAUUGGGACCCAAAAUAAAUAAAAAUUCCUAAUAAUUAAUAUGCAAGUAUGAAAAAUGUGAAAGAAUGUACAAAUGCUCGUGAUUACAUUCUCUAUGCUUAGACAAUUGUUACGUUGUCGUUUAGAUUUUUAAAAUCCUUCAAACCUUCAUGAAUAAUAUUUUUCGUUUGAGUGAAAAAAAAUAAUAAUAACUAACAUAGAAGUGCGAAAAUGUUAAAAUAUAUAUAUAUAUAUAUAUAUAUAUAUAUAUAUAUAUAUAUAUAUAUAUAUAUAUAUAUAUAUAUAUAUAUAUAUAUGCAAUCACUUGUGAUGACAACUUUUACAACUUUCGUGAAUGGGUCAACUCCGAAAUUUGACAGUAUAAUUAAUAAAACCUAGAUUUAUAUUUAACCAUAGAUUGACAUUUAUGCUCUAUUUUUCUCACUGGAUUUUAUUUUUUAGAUUUUUGUUUUGGCCAAAUUUUUUCUUGGUCCCUGUGGUGAGACGACACUUUCAAUGUGAUCCUCAUAAUGAAAAAAUUGUUAAUUAAAACCCCAUGGUGAGUUCUGUUAGAAUCCAAUAGGCGAGCUUUUUCACCUGAACAUGAUCAUCAUCAUGGAAGCACUACCGACCAGUGACCAGAUCGACGACAACGUCUUGUGCUUGUCGGUGAUUAUCGACUUGACCAAGUCGUUGCAGCUGCUACUAGUCAGGGGCAGCUGUUGUUGCAGAGAGGAGGAAUGCGAGACUAGAGGGGUUAUUAAAAAUCCACACGAAAAAACAAGAUUGCUAAUACCGUGCUAAUGAGAUCUUUAAUCCAAGUGAGUCAUUUUAUUCAGAUGUUUUCAUUUUUUUUUUUUACAUUUUUCUGCAAUCAAACAACCCAGAUUGUGCCACAUGGGCCCAAACCCUUUUUUUCAAAUGUUUUUCAUUUUUUUUUUUCUGAAUUAAAAAGUCAGAUUCAUCCAACAGCCAUAUGUGCAGAAGGCUAGAAGGCUAAGUGCGCCUAUAGCGCAGGUCCCACUGCCACUUUCCAGUCAGCUCACGCUCCCUCACUCACUCGUGAAGUCCACGUGCUUGACGCAAAAAUAAAUAAAUGAAUAAAUAAAAAAUAAACGUGGUUAACCUCAUGCUAACAUUAGAUCCACUCCGACACUAAAGCGGACAAAAAUGACCCGAUCAAUAGGUCUGGGGUGGGUGGGCCCAUUGAAUCGCCCCACUGAUUUGGAUGGGCGGAGCUGUUUUUCUUAGGUGUGGGAAUUAAACCACCUAAUUAAAAGGGCAAUUUAAUGGAGAAAAGUUGCUUCAAGUAUAAUCCUCACUCACGCCACUUAGUUCUAAAGUCUAGUGGUAUUCCUCUUCACUUGUAAGUGAGAUGUCUUAGGUUCAAUUCUUGACAAAGGUGAAAUUGAACCACAUUCACUAGCCCAUUGUAAGGUUUAACCUACUUUCCCACCCCUUAAUGUAGAUAAUAUGUUUGUUAAAAAAAAUAUAAAAAAAAAAUCCUUACUUAACCAAACGUGGAACACUACUCCGAUCUAAGCUAGUCCGAAUUUAAAAAAAGGGCUAUCUCCAAUGGAGAUGGCUAUAGUUUAACCUUUUUCUUUACAAAACCCAACUCUGAUGGAAAGUUGGGCCAAAACCAAAUGGAUCUUACCAAGCCAAAUUAGAGCAAUUUGACCAUCGGGUUGGGCAUAUUGAGUCCGCCUUGCAGCCCAUUUGUUGGGUUUUUUUUUAUAAGGACGAAAUUUAAAAAAGAAAAAAUUUUAAAAUCUAUUUUUUUUUCUAUAAAUACCUAAGUCAUUUAUACACCAUUUUUCACAUCAUUUUCAUCAUUCCACAUUAUCUUACCUCAUUUUAAUCCAAUUCUUCACAUUCUAUUCACAUCAAACACUCUUUUCAUACACACUCUUCUCUUACCUCUACCAAUAAUCUAAAUUUAAAUUUUUCAAUAUUUAUUCAAAUGACACUCAAAAUAUAUCCGGAUAACCUUAUUCAUUUAGUAACAAGUGACACUCAAAAUAUGUCAUGAUAAAUUUAUUUUAAUAUAGUAGUUUAAUUCAAUUAUCCAAUAAAGUUAAAUAACAAAUUUAUAAAUAAUAAAUUAUUGAAGGGCUAAAAAAUAGCCUAUACAGUUGCAGAUGAUAUAUAAAUAUGGCUUACCACUAUUCAUUUAAAAAUAAUUUCUUACGUAACUUUGAUUCGGACUAAACAUAACCCCUGAUAGACGUAUCAAACGAGACAUAAAUAGCGCGUUGGAUAUUAACCCGGAGACGCCAUUGUGGGACACAUCCUCACGUUGUAAAAUUUUACUUUUAUGUUUUUCCGUUGUUUCAAAACAUCGACGCUGGGCCAAACUUUGAGCCGUCAUUUCGAUCCGUACUCAUGAAAACUGGAAACUUGAGCAGUACAAGUUGCCGUACCAAAGAAGUUGUGUAUCCGUUAUUCUCAAAAGCUCUUUCCUCUGCUAAAAACUGCACUGAAUUACACAAAGUCCACUCACAGAUUGUCACUUCAGGAUUACACCAUUCCGUCUUCUUCUCCGGCAAACUCAUAAGCAAAUAUGCUCAGCUCAGAGACCCCAUUUCCUCCCUCUCAGUUUUCCACCAAGCUCUUCCCAAAAGCAAUGCCUACCUAUGGAAUUCAAUCAUCAGAGCGCUUAUCCACAAUGGGUUUUACUCAAAAGCUCUUGACCACUACACUGAAAUGGAUAAAUUGAAUGUUCGACCUGAUAGGUAUACAUUUCCUUCAGUGAUCAAUGCCUGUGCUGCGUUAUGUGAUCUGGAAAUGGGCAUGAUUGUUCAUCAGCGUGUUUCCGAAAUGAGUUUUGGAUCAGACUUGUACAUUGGUAAUGCAGUGAUAGACAUGUAUUGUAGAUUUGGUGAACUUGGCAAAGCACGGCAACUGUUUGAGCAAAUGCCUCAAAGGGAUAUUGUGUCGUGGAAUACUGUGAUUUCGGGCUACAGUUCGAAUGGAUAUUGGGAGGGAGCUUUGGAAAAUUUUCGUAGGCUGAGAAUGGACGGGUUGUUACCAGAUUCUUUUUCCAUAUCUGGUGUUUUGCCUGCGUGCGGAGGCUUGGUUGAUGUUAAAGAGGGUUAGAUAGUUCAUGCUUUGGUUGAGAAGAUUGGGGUCCAUGCUGAUGUUUUAGUAAGCAAUGGAUUUCUUUCAAUGUACUUCAAAUUUGGUUGGUUAAAAGAUGCUCAAUGUCUUUUUGAGAAGAUGGUUGUUAGGGACUCGGUUAGUUGGAACACUGUGAUUUGUGGGUACUCUCAGUUGGGGUUGUUUAAAGACUCAAUAAAUUUGUUUAGGCAAAUGGUGAAUGAAUUUACACCUGAUUUGCUAACAAUCACUUCUGUUCUCCGUGCUUGUGCUCAUUUACAGGAUCUGGGACUUGCAAGAUAUGUUCAUGACUACAUGAAAAGAAGUGCUUUUCAAUUUGAUACUAUGGCAAAUAACAUACUUAUUGAUAUGUAUGCAAAAUGUGGAAACUUAUUAGCUUCACAAGAAGUAUUUGAUCAUAUGGAAUGUAGGGAUGCUGUGUCAUGGAAUUCAUUGAUCAAUAGUUAUUUUCUUAAUGGUUGUUCUGAUGAAGGGUUCAACCUUUUUAAGGCGAUGAAGAGUAGCGUGAAACCUGACUCUGUGAGUUAUGUGAUGAUACUGUCAAAUUCUACCCAGCUAGCAGAUGUGGACAAGGGGAAAAUGAUCCACUGUGAUACGGUAAAAUUGGGAUUCAAUUUAGAUGUUAUCGUCAACAAUGCUCUUGUAGAUAUAUAUGCUAAAUGUGGCAAAAUAAAGGAUUCGCUACUAGUAUUUGAGAAUAUGGAAGUUCGUGAUGUAGUAACAUGGAAUACCGUAAUUGCUGCUUGCAUUCAUUAUGACGAUUGUAGUUUAGGGUUAAGAAUGAUUCGUAGAAUGAGGAAUGAGGGAGUGAUGCCCGAUGUGGCCACCAUGUUAGGUAUCUUGCCUGUGUGUUCCUUGUUUGCUGCAAAGCAACAAGGAAAAGAGAUCCAUGGGUGCAUUUUAAGGUUAGGAUUUCAUUCAGAUGUCCCUGUUGGGAAUGCACUAAUAGAAAUGUAUUCUAGCUGUGGUAGUUUGGAAAACUCCAUACGAGUAUUUGAGCAUAUGAGAAAGAAGGAUGUGGUGACAUGGACCUCCAUGAUCUCUGCCUAUGGGACAUAUGGUGACGGAGUGAAAGCAGUAAGAACUUUUGCAGAAAUGGAAGCAACAGGUGUCCUUCCUGAUCAUCUUGCUUUCCUUGCUGUCAUAUUUUCUUGUAGCCAUUCAGGUUUAGUAGAAGAAGGUAUGGCUUACUUCAACCGGAUGAAGAACUGCAAACUUGAACCUAGGAUCGAACACUUUGCUUGUGUAGUUGACCUCCUCUCACGGUGUGGCUUAUUAGCUCAAGCAGAGGACUUUAUCCAUUCAAUGCCAAUGAAGGCAGAUGCGAGUAUAUGGGGAUCUUUACUUAGUGCUUGUCGAGCUAGUGGAGAUACAGAUAUAGCUGCACGUGUCUCAGAACAGAUAAUUCAAUUGAAUUCUAAUGAUACAGGGUAUCAUGUUUUGGUCUCAAAUGUAUAUGCUUUAGGGAAGUGGGAUCAAGUGAGAAGAAUUCGGAAAUGCAUGCAAGCUAAAGGACUCACAAAAGAUCCUGGAUUUAGCUGGAUGGAGAUUCAAAAGAAAGUCUGAGGAUAGUCCCUCUUAAAAUUGUAUAGAGGUCAAAACGUUUGUCGGGGCUACUUUUGGGUUUGUUGGGAAAGGAAGAUAUGCUGAUUUGCAACUUCUCCCACCAUGACUUCGGAGAUGGAUGAGAAAAAAGACGUAGAAAAGGGGAGGGCUUGCCAUGGAAGGUAAUGGCUGAUGAAUAACCCUUUGGCUUUGUGGGAAACUUUUGCAUUUCUUUCCUUUUCCAAAUCUUUCUUUUGUAUGUUCAUCGAAUUAGCAAAUCUGAAAACUUCAAAGUACACUUCUCCCUCAUAGGCAACUCAUAUGAACAAACGCUAUUUAAGAAUGAGAUAUUGCAUUUUUAUAUUUUCAUGUUGCUUAAUGUUGAUGGUAUCUUGUUGAAUGCUGUAUAAGCUUUAGGUUCAUCAGUCAUGCUUCUAUGAUAAUAAAGCCUGAUUUACACUUGUCUCUCUCUUGUUUAAUUUACAUAGCAUCAUUAAGUCUGCUUUUUGUCUUACCAUAUGGUGUAGGUCCAAUGUUCGAAGGAGAGGGUUCUGAAUUUAGAGCAGACCCGAAUUCACUGAUCCGAGGUUAGAUUGUUCAUUUCAAGAGAUUUUCAUUUCUUUUUCUUGCUUAUUCAUAGAUUUAGUUGUGUACUUUUAACAACAAAAAAAAACUGACUUGAAGCUCCUUUGUUCUUAAUUCUAACUAAUAAUUAAUUUAACGAUUUUAAUUUAUUGUGUAAAUUAAUUUAUUGUGUAAAUUUUGGCUUAGUACGAUUCAAGAGACUACAAUUUUAAUUGCAAGAUUUGGUAUUUUUUUUUUAUCUGUUGCACAAUGUGUGGCUUCAGUUCUGAAAAUAUUGAGGAUUACUGCUUUCCUUCAAUAAACAGAACUUUGAAAAUUCAUCUUGUUUAUUUAUCAAGUGGCUCUGAUUGCAGAGGCAACACGAGGAUGUGUCGCUCGCAGAUAAUGUGAAAUUCUCAAGAGGAUUUAUGCGAUUCUCGGGUCCAGGCGUCCAUAUGAACAAUCUCUCCAGCUCACUCUACAGAGGCUAACUACUGCAGAACCUGAGAUUGCAGACGCUAAGUGGAAAGCUUCUAAAAAAGUUCAAAAUUUGGCGGUAAUGCCGUUGUUGACCGACAGUCUUGACAGCCACAGUUGAACACUCUGAUAGUAAAACUGAAUUCUUUUCAGCCAUUAGUCAGUUCACUUGGAUGGCUCAGAUUUUACCGUUGUAAAUUCCUUUUUUUUUUCCAAAAAUCUGGCAACUCAACAUUACUAUUUUGGAAAGUUAGAGCUAGAUUCUGAAGGUCGUAGGGUAUAAAACCAGAACCAAGUCUUUGAAGUUCCGCAUUUUGACCCAAUGUCGGGAGAACCUUCCUAUUUGAAUCUGCUCCUUCUACCUUGUCACUCUUUUUCGUGAUCCAAAUUACAAUGUUGCUUGACAAUCGGAACUGUAUUAUCUAAGCUAACCUUUAAUUUUCAACUUAGCAAAAACACUUUUUAUGCAAGGGAACUUAUCAAGUAGCUGAGAGCAUUCAUCUUAGCAACCGUGUUAAUCCGUUCGAUAUCACUUGUUUAAGACGAAUAAAUCUUUUAUUCAAAUUGUUAGUACUAUAAUUAACAAUUCCAUUAAAAAUAAUAUACCAUCAUUAAGAAUUGAAUAUAUUAUGCAAGGAGCAUAUCUCGAGUAGUUAAAAAACAUUUUAUUUUGCAAUCGAGGUCCUUUGUUUGGGUAAUAUCACUUGAAUAAAACCAAUAAAUUUUCAUUCAAAUUGUUAGAAGUCCAUUUGAAAUAUUCCUACCUUCGAUAUUCAAUAGAAGUGCAUUUGACAUAUUCCUACAUCCUAGACUCUUAAGAAUUAAAAAAAUCCUAGCUGCGGAAAAUUUCUCUGCCGCCAGCUCCUGCCUUUGGCUUUAGAGUCGGCGUCAAUCUUCUUAAAAAUCAUUCUUCAUCUCUUCCUUCUCACUUUUUGUUUACUUUAUUUGGUUUUGAAUUGUCACCGUGAAAAUGUUGUAAUCACUGUGAUAAUGACACACGUACAUAGUUCACAUAAGGCUUUGGAUCCAAUUAUCACCUUCGAUAUGGGGUUGAAGCGGGAAGCCAUGAAAGAUGUCGAAUUGCAUUGGGAUCAAGUUUAGUCAGUACAACACUUUGGGUUUAGCUGAUGUAGUGGUAUGCCUUUCGGAUGUCCGAAGGAUGUGGAGUGGCGACAUGAUUUUAUCCUUUUAUUUUGUUUCUGUUUAAUUAUUUCUGGGAAUUGACUUAAGAGUUUGGUUUGAUUUCUCUUUAUAGGAGAGUUUGCUAGUUUGAUUGCUCUCCAUAGGAGAGUGCUUGAUUUUAAGUUUUGUUUUGGUGUGUUACCCUUUGGGAUCCAUGUCUAAAGGGUGGAGCCGUUUGAUUUGUUGGAUCUACUUCAUUUGGUGUUCUGCGAUUGUAAUGGUUAUUAGGUGAUGCGAUGGACUCAUGGGCAUCGUGCUCCCUAUUCCAAUUUUAUGGUUUGAGAUUUUGUUCUCACAUGAUCCUCUUGUAACACGAAGUUUAACGGUUUAUUAAUCUAUGUAAUCAUACAACUCCAUAUGAGCUCGAAAGAGUGCGUGAUGUCUACUCAUUGGGCGAUCAAUAUGCUUUAUUGUACUAUUUUUAGAUCUAGUUUGCAAAGACCCUUUUGGGGCCAAGUUCUUCAUGAUAUGUAUUUGUAAUGCCCUUUUAUCAAUGAAUGAAUACCGUACUCUUAAAAAAAUAAAAAGCAAACAUAACGUCAAAAUGUUCUACAGUCUCCAUGUAAAACCCACCAAUUUUUAUUCGGAAUUGUUCGCAGUUCCCCACAUAAAAUCUUGAGCAAAGCUACCAAAAUCAACAUUACAAAAGCCUGCUAGACAGAUGAUCCCAGACACCAAUAUACAUAUCGUUUUCACAGGAAGGGACAUGAAGCUUUUAGUUCGUCCAAUAUGCUACAAGGAUGUCAACUCAUAUCUCCAAAUACGGCAGCAAAAUGAGCCUAUCGCGCGCUAUGCAUGGGCAUGAGAACCAGAAGCAUGUUCAGUUUCGCAGGAUUGGAGAACCAGAAGUAUAUAUGCUUAUCUGCAAUCUUGAAAUGUCGUGCCUUUUUUAGGAAAUACGUCCCUGGACACACAUGAUGGAGGUACCCCAGCUCCAUGGGUUUGGGCCGGCUGCCAAUCGAUUGUUGGAGGCAUACAAGAUGCUUUUGAAGGUAUCUCAUUUGCCAAUGUUUACAUUUUUUUUCCUAGCACAUUUUAAGGUUUAUCAGCUAAAGUUUGAAUGGCAAUUCGCUCGUUCAUAUACCCACUAAUGUGAGUGAUGGUUUUAUAUGAUAUUAAGACCUCAUGGAGACUUCAUUUUCCACUAAAUCAAUAGGAGUUUCUACCCGUCUAGAAAAUGACAUUUUCUUGUUAUACGUAAUUAUGUAAUUUGUAUCGGUGAAGUAUCUCUGUAGUUAAUCAAUACUUUAAUAUACAACUAAAUUUCUUCUACUAUUGAAUUUCACAAGGACAGGUGUGUUCUUUCAUAUGAGGUAAUGAACAUAGGCACUGUACCUUCAUGUGUGGCUGAUGAUGGGUAGGUAUCUGUGGUGUGUGUUGGAAGGGGUCUGGGUUGAAAUUGUUGAAAGUAGCUUGUACAUGCCACAUUUGGCUUGUUUUUAUAGGGGUUUCAUGGGGAUCUUUUGUCUUUUGAAGUAUCAAACAUUGGGAUCUUGAGCCUUGGCCUUUUGAUCAUCGUUCAUUUGGUUUUACAUGUAAUCUUGAUCUUUGGUUAUUCUUUUGAAGUAUCAAACAUUUUUUUUAUCAACCUUGAUGUGUUAGAUUUAUGCUGACCCGUUUCUUCUCUCCCUUUAUAUUUGUGCCUUGUGUUUGCUGUCCCUAUGCGGAUGCUGUGGUGGUCAAUCCACCCCUUGUUUACAUGGACUUUCCUCGGUUCAAGCAUCCAUAGUGCCCCAUUCACUUAGCAUGGAAAACUAAGUACAAAGCCUGGAAAACUAAAACCAAGUACAAAGCAUGGAAAACUAAGUACAAAAGUAGUUGUUUGCUUGUAGCACAUACUCAGUGCUCAGUGCUCAGUGCUCACUAGUCAAGUUCACCUUUUAUCUGUCUUAAGGGAGAAAAAAGUGAAGGAAAGAAGUGGGGGUGGGGGAGGGGAAUGGGAAAUUUGCUUUUCUUUGUUAUGGGGUAGGAGGGAGGAAAUGGAAGAGAAAAUGAGAAGGGUAGAUAUCCCUUGAGCUGGGAAAGCACUCCUCUAGAGCUCAGUAAAGCAUUAUCCUCUAACAUGGGGAGACUGAAUGUCUAGUUAUUAUGCAAAGGGCAAUAUUUUAGUCCAACCAUUUCUGGAUUUCUUGGCUUCCCUUCGCUUUUCAUCAGACAAGUCAACCAAACAGUAGGAGAGAACCAUAACCAAAUCGUCUGUUGGGAUUCUCUCCUCCCAUUCUCUCUUGCUCCAAACAUGGUAUUACUUCCUCAUUUCCUUUUGUGUGUGUCUGGAUGUGUGCAUGUUGCUGUAGAUGUAAUCGGGUCUGGAGUGAAAUAGGUGUGGUGGGAUUACUUGGGUAUGGUGGAGCAUUGUAGAUCACAUUACUGAACGAUGCCAGAUUUGAACAAGUACUAUUAGUAUGACCGUGAAUCUUGUUACUAGGCCUCUUCUUAUAAUUCUUGCAUUUAUUGCAGUUCCUGGGGAACUUGAGGAAUCUUAGAGACUCAUACGCAGCUCUUGCUGUUGGAUCAUCUGACUCAGUUGCUGGCGAGCCCUCAUCUGUCACAAGAAUAAUCUCAGAGUGUGAAUCUGCUUUGACAUUCCUAAAUCGUGACCUCGGGAUUCUCUCGGCUUCCAUUGCUCGCGAGCAAGGUGAGGAGGUGAGUUUAUGAUGAAAUUGUAGUAGUUGUUUAGGGGAGGGCCAUGAAUGCAGUCUGUUCGCCUUCUUUUUGGACUGCAAAUGUAUGUUGGGAAAAUGUAGUUUUUUCUGUCAAAUGAAAGUGAAGUACAAUGUAGUAUUGAUUCUGUAUUCAUAACACCCACACUGUUUUGUGGGACGAUCUUUAUCCAUGUUCGUUUGGUUUGCAGUCUGACAACAUGAAAGUCAUCGUUGUAAUUAGACCCUUUCUUUUAAGUUCCUAGUCUUUAACCUAUAACAAUGCGAACGACACCUCUAUUUACGGGUGAUUCCCCAAUUCCUCCGUGCUCUCUCUCUCUCUCUCUCUCUCUCUCUCUCUCUCUCUUUCCCCUCGAGCCAAACUGAUAAAUAAGAAAUGAGAGGAAUCAUCCCCAACUGGAACAUUUGACGGAUUGAAUGAAUGAAUGAAUGAAUGAAUGUAUAUUCAAUUCGAAAAGAAUGAAAAAGCAUAUAUAGAUUUCAUUUUUCUCAAAAAAAAGAAGAAAAAAGUACAUAGAUUUCAUGGCCAAAAUGAGGCUUGGGAUCAGGCCUAACUUGAACAAUAAUCAGGCCCAAAAUAAGGCUGGUGCUUUCCAUUGAGGGGGGAAAGUAUAAUUGUGGUUUAUUUGGGACUUCCAAUGAUUAUAGUUAUGGUUUGAGUAAAUUAUAGCAAUGGUCCUUUAAUUUUAACCUAAUUAGAGCAAUGGUAUCUCAACUAAAAAUCUAUUACCAUUGGUUCUUCAACUCAUCAAAACGUUCAGUUAUGGUUAUUUUUGUCAACUUUGUUAUAACUUCCGUCGAAAUAAGUUACGUGUCAUGCAUGUGAGGCUAAAUCAAGGGACAAAUAUGGAAAAUCAAAUAAGAAAAAUUGUAUCAAAGGUCCCUCAACUUUAAUUCAACUAGAGAAAUGGUCCCUCAACUUUAAUCCAAUUGUAGUAAUGGUCAUUCUAACAUAACUCAUUUUGAUAGAAUUAUGAUGAAGACCAUAGCUACAUGUUUUGAUGAGUUGAGGGACCAAUGAUAAUGAAUUUUUAGUUGAUGGACCAUUGUUCCAGUUUGAUUAAAGUUGAGGGAUAUUUGCUACACUUUACUCUUCUGGUUUAGAUUUUGUUUUUCUUGAUAUGGAAAUAUUCAAAUAACCACAAAUAUAUAGGGGGAAUGUUUAGAAGUGCUUUGAAAAUAACUAAAAGCUCUUUCCGAACAUCGAAAAUCUUUCUGAUCAUGUUUGGGGUAAAAAGUUAAAAAGUGCUUUUAGGUUAAAAAAACACUUGCAUUUUUAUUUAAAAUUUCUAUGUAAAAUCUAAUAUAAGCGCUUUUACUGGAAGUUCUUUUGAUUAAAAAAAUGGUUUAGAUGCAAUUCCAAAUGAGCCCCUAGUUUUUAGGGAAAAUGCUAGGGACCCACAUUUUUGUACCACAUUGUUGUACUAUCUAAUGUGGUAAGUGAUUUAUACAUGUCUUGUCAUUUAAUGAGUUUAGGCCUUUUAGCCAAAAUGGUCACUGAGAUUGACAUAACUCAUCACUUUGGUUCCUAAAAUUUAAAAUUGAUUGAUUUUUGUCCCUUAGAUUGUCCACAGUAAAUCAUUUUUGUCAUUUUAGUAAAAAAAAAAUUCGUUAAAUUGAGUGUACUUUUGUCAAAUCAACCCUUCUACUUGAACUGGGGGUUUCUACAAUUUAACAAAGAUUUUUUCAUAGAAGAACCAAAAUAAUUGACGGUAGACAAUCUUAAUGAUCACUUGUAUCAAUUUUAAAUCUUAGUGACUAAAAUGAGGAGUUAUGACAAUCUCAGGGCUAUUUUGGCUAAAAAGCCAUGAUUUAUCUCACGUGUAAUACUUGGGAGCCCAUAUGCAACAACAUCCAAAGUGAUGAAUUAAUUGACGUUGCAUGUACACAUCACUUGUCAUAUGAGAUGAUACAUCAAUGUGGUAUAUUUAUGUGAUCUCAUAGCAUUACUCAGUUCCUAGAUAUUUAUUGGAUGCCAACAAAAGUUCCUUAUUGUUUACGUAGUUAUGGAAGACUUUUCUGCUUUUCUAUUGAUUUCAUUUGAAAUGAUUGAACUAUUUUCUUGUUAAUUAUUGGAUACGUUAUUAAAUUUUUUACAUAUUAUAAUAAUUAUUUAAUACAAUCACCAUUUGAAGUAAUGUAUCAAAUCUCUAUUUUUACAAUAAUGUAGUCAAAGUUUCACGUGAAUUCGGAAACAAUAGUUCAUUAACUUCUAUUUAAAAGAAAAAAUAAACUAUGUUAAGUGAUGAUGGAGGUAGAUACAAGCUAGAUGGAAGUUGAAAAGAACUAGUGAUUGAAAAAGAAAGUUAGACACAAACAAAUCCAUCAACAUCUGAUAUAUAAAGAACUGAUUAACAAGUAAACAAAUGAAUCAAAAGGAACACAAAGUCAAUAUGAAAAUGAUAGAACUGAAAAUUCAAACUAGUAAAAUAUUAGUAACAUUCUCUAAUCAUAACAAUAGUUUUAUUAAUUAAGGCCCAAGUGAGAUUGUGGUCUCAUCACAAAAUGAAAAUCUAAACAAAUGGUCCUACAUUGCAAUGACAAAGACAUUCUCUAAAUCAUGAUGAUACUUUAAUAUUGUUGAAAGACUAUAAACAAAUUUCCAAGUCAAAACUAGUGAAAUUUCCAAGAAAUCUUUUGUAUAUGUUGAAGACUUGAAACUUCCAAUCAUAUAGAGGUUAAUAAAGAAAUCCAAAAAAGAAAAAAACCAUCAAAAUAUAUGUAGUUUUAGUUUAUUCAUUAACUUCUACAAGUUAAGUACUCAACUUAAUUCUCCUUGGGUUAUAUAUAUAGAUGGUGCUCAAGCGAUAAUUGUUUAGUAAGUUACUUUGGCUCGAAUAACUCAUUUGCAUCCACUUUACUAUUUAAUUUCAUUAUUUGAAUCGUUCAUUUUGUUUAAAGUUUUCAUACAAAGGUUGUCACAUCCUGGCCCGGGCCCCCACCACAUCCCAGGCUCGACUUUGCCGUAGCACGAUAUUGUCCUCUUUGGGCCCCGACUAAACUCCGAAACAAAAAAAGUGUUGUCGAAAAUUAUCAAAAUGUUCAAGGCAAUGAUCAAGGAUGACCGUGGAUGAACACCUAAAAAUGAAGAGUUCAUAUAAAUAGCUUAAAAUUUUUGAACUCUAAACACUAAGUUGUUUGAUUAUAAUCAACAUUUACGUUUACGUGGAACAUUGUAUUUGUCUAUUUAGUUUAUCGUAAUCAGAAACAUAAAUACUUUCGAGCUUAUCAUUUACUUAUUUUAUUUUUUCGAACAAAUGAUAUUAUCUGCACUAAGGGGGGAAAGGGUGAGCUUAGCUUCACAAUAGGCUAGCAAUAAUGUGGUUCAAACUCAACUUUGGCGAGAAUUGAACUCAAGACCUCUCACUUACAAGUGAAGAGGAAUACCACCAAAUCGUAGUACUAAAUGACAUCAUUUACUUUUAAUAUUAGAACAAUCUUGAUUUGCACUUAAUGAAUUUACGAUACUUUAUAAAAUUAAUGGUAGAACAGUUUCUAUUUUAGAUUUUGUUUUCAUUGAUAUGGAGAUUUCCAUAUAACAACUAUGCUUUUCACAUUAUUGUGAGAAUUUUUCUGUUGAUUUCAUAGGAAGUAAUUGUACACUUUUUAUUUUUUUAUUUUUUUUUAUUGGAUAAGUUAUUAAACUUUUUUUAUAUAAUAAUUCUAAUUCAUUUUUCUAUCAUGCCUCACAAUAAUGUGGUCAAAGUUUCACAUAAAUUUGGGAACAGUAAUUAAUUAAGUUCAUGUUUGAAAGAGAAGAAAACUAUGUUAAGGGAUGAUGGAUGAUGGAUGAUGGAUGUAGAUACUAGCUAGAUCGAAGUAAGAAAAGAACUAAUGACUGAAAAAAUAAAGUUAGACACAAACAAACCCAUCAACAUCUGAUAGAUACAUAAUUGAUUAGCAAGUAAAUGAAUGAAAUUAAAAGGAGCACCAAAGUCAAACUGAAAAUGAUAGAACUGAAAAUCAAAGUAGUAAAAUAAUACUAACCUUCUCUAAUCAUAACAAUAGUUUUAUUAAUUAAGGCCCAAGUGAGAUUGUGGUCUCAUCACAAAAUGAAAAUCUAAACAAAUGGUCCUACAUUGCAAUGACAAAGACAUUCUCUAAAUCAUGAUGAUACUUUAAUAUUGAAAGACCAUAAACAAUUCCAAGUCAAGAUUAGUGAAAUUUCCAAGAAAUCUUUUGUAUUUAUUAAAGACUUGAAACUUUCAAUCAUACGGAGGUCAACAAAGAAUCCAAAAAGAAAAAACCAUCAAAGUAUAUGUAGUUUUAGUUUAAGGAAAACUAAUAAAAAUGGUUUGAAAACUUUGAGUUUUAAUUAUAAGGACAAAAUAAAGGGUAAAGUGAAUAGUACCAUGAUUGACUUUUUAGUGUAAAAAUAUGGUUUUUCGUUAAAGUGAACAGUACCGGGUGCUUUUCGUUAAAGUUCCCUUUAGUUUAUUCAUUAACUUCUACAAGCUAAGUACUAAAAUUAAUUCUCCUUGGGUUAUAUAUAUAGGGUGCUCAAGCGGUAACUAUAUAGUAAGUGACUCCAGCAUGAAUAACUCAUUUGCGUCCACUUUACUAUUUAGUUUCAUUAUUUGAAUCGUUCAUUUUGUUUAAAAUUUUCAUACAAAGGUCAUCUCCUAAAAAAAUCAAUCAAAUUGUAGAUCGUUUAAAUAGUAAACUGUGAAACAAAAAAGAAACAAAAAAAGUGUUGUUGAAAACAAUCAAAAUGUUCAAGGCAAUAAUCAAGGAUGACCGUGGAUGAACACUUAAAAAUGAAGCGUUAAUAUAAAUAGCUUAAAAAAGUUUGAACCCUAAACACUAAAUUGUUUGAUUAUAAUCAACAUUUGUGUUUUCGUGAAACAUUGUAUUUGUCUAUUUAGUUGACCAUAAUCAGAUGCAUAAAUACUUUCGAGCUUAUCAUUUUUUUUUUUGAAUAAACGAUAUUAUCUACACUAAGCGGGAGUGGGUGAGCUUAGCCUCAUAAUGGGCUUUUAAUAAUGUGGUUCAAACUCACCUUUGGCGAGAAUUGAACCUAAGACCUCUCAAUUACAAGUGAAGAGGAAUACCACUAGAUUGUAGUACUAAGUGGCAUCAUUUACUUAUUUAAUACUAGAACAAUCUUGAUUUGCACUUAAUGAAUUUACGAUACUUUGUAAAUUUAAUACUAGAACAAUUUCUAUUUUAGAUUUUGUUUUCAUUCAUAUGGAGAUUUCCAUAUAACGACUAUGCUUUUCACAUUAUUGUGAGACCUUUUCUAUUGAUUUAAGGGGCUUUUGGAUCUAGGUCCAAAAACAUAGGUAGUUUUUUGGACUGAGUCCAGUUAUCCAAUUACAUAUUGAUAUCAAUUUUAACCAUUCAGAUAAAAAUAUUUAAUUUCUUUAAAUUUCUUUAUCAUUUAUUCAGUUUUUAAAUUUUGAAUAUUUAAAUACUCAAACUAAAAUAUUAUCUAAUAAGUACCUACUAUUUAUGAAGAAAACAAAACUGAUAUAAUCUAGUAACUACCUAUUGUGUAGGAAGAAAGAUGCUUUAUACCUACAAAGCAGAUAUAAUCUACCUGCAAAACAAAAAUAAACUACCUAUUGUAUCGGAAGAAAAAUUCUGGGAACCUACUUGGCGGAACAUAGAAAUAUAAAUAUGAUAUAAUAUACCUCCAUUAAAGGAACGAAUUUGGAGGGAAAACAUAAAAAUAUCACCCAUGAAAAGAAGAGACAAAAAAGAGGAGGAUUGAUUCCAUGAUCUAACGGAGGGAAUUGUGUGGAAGAAGGAAAGAAAGAGGGAUGAAACGGACUGGGGGUUGAGGUAAUUAUAUGGCUAUAACUAAUCCUACAAUUAAGGGAUUAGUUAAACCACAAAUAAUCCCAUAAUUAAGAAUUUUUUGUGUAUUUACUACAAUUUGUAAGCCUAAGGGGUAAAUAUGGUACAAACCACAAAUAAGCAUACGUGGAAUCUCAAUUAUUGGACCUAUUUCAAUGAAGUGGACUAAUCCUACUAAUGACUCACAAAAUUGGAUCUGUAUCAAGUUAUCCCUUGAUUUAAUAGGAAGUAAUUGUACUUUUUUUUUUUUUUUUUUUUGUUAUCGGAUAAGUUAUUAAUUUUUUUAUAUAAUAAUUCUAAUUCAAUUUUCUAUUAUGCCUCACAAUAAUGUGGUCAAAGUUUCACAUAAAUUUGGGAAACAAUAAUUAAUUAUGUUUGAAAGAGAAGAAAACUAUGUUAAGGGAUGAUGGAUGUAGAUACUAGCUAGAUCAAAGAAAAAAAGAACUAAUGAUUGAAAAAGAAAGUUAGACAAAAACAAGCCCAUCAACAUCUGAUAUAUAUAGAACUGAUUAACAAGUAAAUGGAUGAAAUUAAAAGAAGCACCAAGUCAAUUUGAAAAUGAUAGGAUUGAAAAUCAAAGUAGUAAAGUAAUAGUAAAGUAAUACUAACCUAUCUAAUCAUAACAAUAGUUUUAUUAAUUAAAUCUAAGUGUGAUUGUGGUCUCAUUACAAAAUAAAAAUCUAAACAAAUGAUCCUACACUGCAAUGGCAAAGACAUUCUCUAAAUCAUGAUUACUUUAAUAUUGUUGAAAGACCAAAAACAAAUGUCCAAGUCAAGAUUAGUAAAAUUUCCAAGAAAUCUUUUGUAUUUGUUGAAGACUUGAACUUCCAAUCAUACAUAGGUCGAUAAAGAAAUCCAAAAAGAAAAAACCAUCAAAGUACAUGUAGUUUUAGUUUAUUCAUUAAACAAGUUAAGUACUCAAAUUAAUUGUCCUUGGGUUAUAUAUAUAUAUAUAUAUAUAUAUAUAUAUAUAUAUAGUGUCACAGCCCGUCCCGGAAUUUUAAUUCCGAGGACAUGAAAAGAUGAAAAUGCCCUUAAACGGGACUAAGGGGCGAAAAUUUAACAAUUUGGAUUGAGUUGGACACGUGGGAUCCCCACAUCCCUCAAAACCUUCCCCAAUUCCCGUACCUUGUCUCUCUAUCUCUCUUCCCUCACGACUCUCUCUCACUCUCAGUUCUCUCUCUUCCUCUCCGACGCUCAACCUCACCCAAAACCACCUAAAACAUAAACAAACGUCCAAGAUAAGACCACAUUUGGAUUCCUGGAACUUCCACGAUCACGUAGACAUCAAUUUCAGGUAAGUUUUGCUUCGAAAAACCCUAGUUUCAAAGUUCCCGUGAAAUGGUACUGUUCAUGAUCUUCUAAAUGACUACGUUUUAGGCUAAAACAAGAUCACAGCGGGCUUAGUGAGGUCCCAAGGAAGCUCGGAGUGCUUCGUUGGAAGUUUUUGGACGUAAGAACACGGAGAUUGACAAGUUCAAAGUUUGGCCGGAGCUUUCGAGGAAUUUUCCGGCGAAUCCCCGGCGAGUUAGGAGUCGAGGUAGGUAUCAAUCUCUUCGUCUCUUCAAGGGCUACAACUUUCGUUUUUGAAUCACUUGAUUUCGUUGAGAAAUGACAAAGUUAUGGCAAUUUGAAAAACUGCCCG
rnacentral:lncRNA from 1 species